UUAGUUUAUUAGUCUUGAUGCAUGCAGAAAGUAUCUUGCGAGUAAGAAUUUUAAGUGUCGUGAUACGGGAUCGUGCUAGAAGCUUAUCGAUAUUGUACGGCACGGUGUGUGCUAGUUAUGAAAAAUACAUGUGUGCCGACACAUAAUGGUAUAAGAGAUUUAUUUUAAGUAGUAAUAAAAUAUGUCAAUUAUUUAUUAUAUAUUUUUAUUAACUUUUUGAAUUUUAUUGAGAAAAUUAUUUAUUUAUUUAUAAAAUAAAGGAUUUUGAGUUGUGUCAUCGGCAUGUGAGUUAUAUUGUACUGAUAUCUGACAUGAUACGGUAAGAUGGAUGCGAUUCGUAACGAUAGAUAUUUAAAUCCUUACUUGCAAGUAUGCCUCCAGAUUUGUUCGUGCAAGUAAAAGUGAAGAUGUGCUCAUUUUUGAAAACGAGGAUUGAUCUACUCGUCGUCUUCCUUAAAUAGGAAGAAAAUGAAAUGCGAGGAAACUUAAAAAGAAAAAAAAUUGUAUUUAUCGGUUAAAAAAUGUUGGUGACGAUAGUUUAAAUUUUCAAAAACAUAGUUUAUCGUUUACGAGUCCAAAAAUAAAUAUCAACAGUAUUCCUGAGUCGAACGAGGGACUUAAUUUGAAAACAAAAGAAGAAUACUUGAGGCCUACGUUUUGAUAAAUUCUCGUUGCGUGUGAUGACGUGGCAAACCACUAAACCCAUCUCGACCAAUAGGAAUUCCCUUCAAGGGAAGUGGGCCCCACGGGUUCGUCAUCUUCAAUCCGCACCGUCCAUCGCCACUCCGUCAAAACACCUCCAAUCCCAACCGUCCAUUCUCUCUCCUCCCGUCCCCGACUCCCGAAUAAAACGCGAAACCCCCUCCAAACCCUCGUCUCUCUCCGCCCCCUCCUCCCCCACCUUUCUCUCUUUCUCUCUCUCUCUCGAUCAACAAUGGCGGAGGGAGCCGAAGCCGCGGCGGAGGCCAUCGCCUCUCUCUCCACCUCCGACGCCCCAAGCAAGAAGUAAACCCUCUGUUUCCUCUCUCUACUGCGCCUUAUCUCUCUCUCUCUCUCACACUCUCUCUCUAACGCACUUUCUCUCUCUUUUUCCCGUCGUUUCUAGCGCCCUCAAGAAGGAGCUGAAGAAGAAGCAGAAGGAGGAGGAGAAGAGGAAGAAGGAAGAGGAGAACAUGAAAAAGAAGGUCCCUUUCUAACCCUACGCAUCUUUUCUCCCCAUUAAAGAUGUCACCUUUUGCUGCUCAAUUUCGUGUGGAUUUGGACCGAAAUUCGUUGUAUCCUGUCUCUUCAGGCUGCCGAGGCGGCGAACCCGCAGUCUCAGAAGGCGUUGGCGGCCGCCGAUGACGAAGAUAUGGACCCUACGGUUUGUUCUUCGAACCUAUAUUCUGUAUAGGUGAAAUGGUAGAAACCUUAUUUGAACUAUAGCGCAUUUUGAGAUUGGUGUUUGAACAUUUAAGAACUUUUAUUUUACCAAAUGUCCCAACUUGUUAUUGACUUUUCUACUGAGUAUUCAGUUCAGGUAUCUAUUUCACAAAUCAUAUUAGCUUAUCUGUUAGAAGAAAACCUCUCAGUUAUAAUUGUGUUGGUGAUUUUGAUCCCUGAGGUAGUGCCAGGGAUAGCCAUGGGAAUAGCACAAUUCCACCAUGCGGCAUGGAAUUGAUAUCCCAAGGGAUAAACUUGCUAUUGGGUUAUCUCUCGCCAAACAAUUUAGUGUUUGGGGAUGCUAUCCCCGCCCUGUUCGCCAACCAAACACUUCCUUGAGGUUCAGGUACCCAUUUCAAAAAUGCUUUAUAUUUAAGGUAAGGUAUGUACGUGGGUAAAUUGAGAUGCAUAUAAUCUGUUUGAUAAAAUGCCUCUGAUUGUCAUUGGUGGUGGCAGCAAUACUAUAACAAUAGGCUCAAGGUGCUUAGUUCUUCGAAGGAGGUCGGUGUUAACCCGUACCCGCAUAAGUUUCAAGUGUCCAUGACAAUUGUGGAAUAUGUGGAGAAGUAUGGAAGUUUGAGUGAUGGGGAGCACCUUAAGGAAGUUGAAGUUAGUUUAGCAGGUAGAGAUGCAGUGUUUCAUGGAAUGUUUUCUCAAAUGAAGAUGGUGCUUCUUUGCAUGCUUUUCUUUUUACUGUUUUCGAUGGUAAAAUCUUUUUUUUUUUUUUUCAAAAUCUCUUGUAGGGAGGAUUAUGAACAAGAGAGCUUCUUCGUUAAAGCUUUUCUUUUAUGACUUACAUGGCAGCGGGGCUAAAGUUCAAGUGAUGGCAGAUGCCAGGUAUCAAUCACUUACUUGGGCCAUCUUUCUGUGGCAUCUUUUCUUGAUGAAUUUAUGAAAUGUUAUUCUCUUCAUUACAGCACUAGUAUUGUUAGAUCAGAGCUGUCCUUCUAAGGAUUGCAGUAGUUUGAAUUGAUUGGGCAGGCUUUCUCCUUUUACAAGCUGGUUUCAACACUUAUCAAAUGGCAAAACUUAUAACCUUUUGUAUUAAUACAAACCUUUUUAGCAUGUAUCAAUUUUUUAAAGAGGGUAGGGUGCAUACGUAAAACCAAAAGGUGAACAGAAUAAAUGUCAUAAUUGCUUCUAAUUCCUUGUCAAAUGAUAUCAAGAAAGCAAUCUACUGGACAAUAUUAUUAUUUGUUUUAUAAAAUAUUUUACUUGGUAUCUUUUCAAAAUUUUUAUUAGGGACUCUGACAUGGAUGAAAAUGAAUUCUCCAAAUACCAUGCUGGUGUCAAACGUGGUGAUAUUGUUGGCAUCACUGGCUAUCCAGGUUAGUUAAUUAGCGUCAACAUUCUUGCAGUAAUUUUAAGCUUCUUUUCUCGAUUGACAUUUUACCCCUUCAUACUUCACUGAUGGUGUCAUCUAAUCAGUCUGCUUGUUAGUCUGUUUUUGUUAUUAUGAGAACAUAACAUCUUGAUCUGUCCUUGUGAUUUGUCAUGCUGAAGUAAAGAGGCAUAAAUUUGUCCAGUGAGACAGUAGAAUAAAAUGUUUCUGGGUUGACAAAAUUUAUUUAUAUCUGAUUCAGGAUGCUUUAAGUAGUAAUUCAUGUUUGCAGGUGCAUUAUUGUUAAGUUGCUGUUUCUGUGCUACAGGUAAGAGUAAGAGAGGAGAACUCAGUAUUUUCCCCAAGAAGUUUAUUGUCUUAUCGCCUUGUCUUCACAUGAUGCCAAGGCAAAAGGCUGGCCCUAGUGUUGCUAAUGCUUCCGCAAAGGUGAGCAUAUGAGCAAAGAAAUAAAAUCACGUUGUGGCUUUGAUCCAUGCUGAAAAUAGUUGAUCUCCUGCUCUUAUUUCCUUAAAUUGCACUUUGACCGCAGAAAAAUGAAGAAAGACCAACACCUUAUGUGUGGGUUCCAGGAAUGACUAGGAAUCCUGAGACAUAUGUUUUAAAAGAUCAGGUAUAUGACUCAACUUUAUGAGUACAAUUACAAACUGAAAUGAGUAUAGUCUAUAUAGGUUUAAAUUAUUUAUAAUUUGAGUACAAAUGUUUAGAUUAUUCAUAAUUUUGUUUUUCAAAUGUUGGUUAAAUGUCACUCUCCUGUUGCUCUUGACUGCAGUAUUACUGUUUCUAAUUGCAUUGAACACUGGUGCUCUUACACUAUUCGACUGUAUUUCAUACCAAGUCUUCAUGUGUCCUAUAUGCUUGUCGAUGACUUUUCCUUCCUCUACUUCAAUUAUUACUUUGGGCUUCUACAUAUAUGGAUAAAAAUACUACAUCAACUUGAGAUUUUACUAGCUGAUCGAAAUACACAGCAAUAAAAAAGAAGUUAUAGUAACUGAGGAUUGAAUUGAAGCAUAGUUGGUGUUCAGCCGUAGAUUGCUACUGGUUCUAACUGACUUUGAUCCAUGGAUAAAACUUAAUUAUGGUUUUGAGUUUUGACUGUUCAACAAGCCUACCACUCUUUGUUCUUCAUAGGGAUUUUUUCUGAAAGAUUAAAAAAAAUGAUAUGAAUGUAUGUCAUUUUAUAAUUUCUUGUAACAAAUCUUUCUCUCUUCCUGUGGUACUUUUCUGAAUCACUUCAAACAAAAUAAUGUAUUGUAACUAGUUCUUGGUUUAUUGGCCUUUCUUGUAAAUUGGCUUGGUAGCUUAACCACUAGAUGAUCAAAUUGCUAUGUUGGAUGGCUUGUGGGUAAAUGUUGAUGGAGAUUUUACUUUUAGAUUGUUUUGUUUUAUAAUUUGAUCACACCAUUUUUACCUUUUUUAUGACAUUAUUUUAACUAUUGGCUGUUUAAUAUACUUUUUCUGUUGAUAUGCUUGUCAAUUGCUCAUUUCUUUGGUUAACUUCUAUUGGAACGUUCACCUUUUGUCAUGAUAGGAAACACGAUAUCGCCAGAGAUAUCUGGAUCUAAUGCUAAAUCAUGAAGUUAGGCAAAUAUUCAGGACUCGUGCAAGGAUCAUCUCUUAUAUCCGGAGUUUUCUCGACAAUCUUGGUUUCCUCGAGGUUGCUCCCUCUCUCCUGUCCCCUUAGAAGAAUAUUUGAUUUGGCUAAAUUGCAAAAACCCUCCUGUAAAUAGCAUCAUUUGCACUUUGCCCCUAAAAAUAUAAAAAGUAAUAUUUAACUUCCUGAUUUUUAGACCUUUAGCACUUAACCUGCGUCCUGUCACAUCUUUUGUUCAGGAUUUAUUAGGUAGUCUCAAAAUAUAAUCUAAAAGACCCAUUUCAUCCCUUUUUAUGGUGGAAAAUAUUAUGCUUAUGGACUUCUAAUACUUUCUGAGUGGAAAGAUGUGACAGUAAGGGUCUUAUAUGCUAAUAUUCUGAAAAUUAAGGGUUUCUUGCCUUCAUUUGUAUUGAUUUUCUUUACUAGUUUUAAAUGCAUUUUCUUCAUACUCAGGUGGAAACACCUAUGAUGAACAUGAUCGCUGGUGGGGCAGCUGCCAAGCCUUUUGUCACCCACCACAAUGAAUUGAACAUGAAAUUGUACAUGCGCAUUGCUCCCGAACUCUACCUCAAGGAGUUGGUUGUUGGUGGUCUAGAUCGUGUCUAUGAAAUCGGAAAGCAGUUCAGAAAUGAGGGGAUUGAUUUGACCCAUAAUCCCGAGUUCACCACAUGCGAAUUCUAUAUGGCUUUUGCAGAUUAUAAUGAUUUGAUGGCAGUCACAGAACAGAUGUUAGCCGGUGUGUAUAAGUCUGUGAAAUCACUAUAAUUACAGUUGUUCUUAAUGUUAGUUGAACUUUUGUAAUGUUUACAUAUAUGCCCCUAUAAAAACACCGAUUUAUACGUAUUCCUCUGCAAAAGAUGAUUUUUUAUGUAUAUUCUUCAAGAACUCACUUUCUUACAUACAUGCGUCGAACUUGUGGCAAUGCCUCCGCCAAAAAUCAUUUUAUAGUACAAAAUGACUUUCGACCCAUUAAUUGAAUGACUCUUGACUUAAAUUAUUGAUAUUUUUGUUAGAAGCUGCAGCAGUGAGGGGGCAUAUCAGAAAUUUGAUUUUACAGGGAUAUAGGAAUAGAUGAUUUUGCAGGGGUAUAUAUAUGUAAUUGCCCUUGAUUAGGGUUUUCUUUGCUGAAACAAUGAACAGGAAUGGUGAAGGAACUAACAGGUGGUUAUAAAAUAAAAUACCAUGCCAAUGGAGUUGACAAAGAUCCAAUAGAGAUUGAUUUUACUCCGCCUUUCAGGUAUAAUCUCUUUUUUCCAUUUUGUUUAAUUAAUGUAGUUAGCCAUUUUUAUUUCGUAAUGACAUAUAUUGGUUGCUGUAAAUUAGGAGGAUUGACAUGAUUGAAGGACUGGAGUCUAUGGCAAAUCUUGAUAUACCGAAAGAUCUUUCUAGCGAAGCUGCAAAUAAAUACUUGGUAGAUGCAUGUGCAAAGUUUGAUGUCAAAUGCCCACCACCUCAGACAACAGCAAGAUUAUUAGAUAAGGUUAUUCUCCAUUCAAUUACAUUUCUUGAGAAAUUUGAAGGAAGGUAUGUUUUGUCGGGUUUGUUGCAUUAAGGGGCAGUAAGACUAUUGAAGAAGCGAACUAAUGAAGCAAGAUCUGAGCUGAAAAGAAACUGUGUGGGGCUUUGUUGCAUUAAGGGGCAGUAAGACUAGUGAAAGAAGCGAACUAAUGAAGCAAGAUCUGUGUGUGGAAUUUCAGACUCUUUGGCCUAGUUUCUGGAACAAAUUCUGUUGUUUGAAAAUUUAUAGCCUGGCUGAAGAGGUCCUUACGACCUAGAAUUCUGUAAAUAACUGUAUGAUGAGUUUUGCUAUUUGCUUUUGCAGCUUGUUGGGCAUUUCCUGGAGGAGACAUGUGUGAACCCGACCUUUAUUAUUAACCAUCCAGAGAUAAUGAGCCCAUUGGCAAAGUGGCAUAGGUCAAAGCCUGGAUUGACCGAGCGGUUUGAGCUAUUUGUCAACAAACAUGAGGUCUCUUGGUUUAUCUGCUGCUCCCAAAUUACAUCUAACUCUACUGAUGGCUAAUGUUGUCUACAAAACUCUUUCAGGUAUGCAAUGCUUACACAGAGUUGAACGAUCCUGUCGUACAGCGCGAACGCUUUGCUGCGCAGCUGAAGGUACUAAGAUACAGAAAGAGGAUAGCAAGUUCAUUAGAAAAAUGAGGGGUUUUAUAUAGUCUGCUCUAUAAUCUGAAUUUUCAUUUUCACUCUUAGUGCAGUUUCUUAGGAAAUUGUUGUAGUCAUCCCAUCAAGCGAAGAAGUUGGUUUUCAUUAGAAAACAUUUUUAAAGAGGGGCACAUAUAUGCAAAUUCAGAUUUUGUAGAUAAAUAUAUGUAAAUAGAUAAAUUACGGGUAUUGUAUGAAAAAUAUCUCUGAAAAAUAUCUCUGUAAGUAAACCCUAAACCCUGUUCCCUCUGUUUAGGAUUUUGGGUUUAGGCUCUAGGACUAAAUGCUACAAUAUUGAUAAGAAAUUGAAGUGCUGUGGUGUUGUGGAAAUUAUCACAUAAUCAUGAUUCUAAUCUAUUGUUCAUGGUUUUAGGAUCGACAAUCAGGUGAUGAUGAGGCAAUGGCUUUAGAUGAAACCUUUGUUACUGCUCUGGAAUAUGGCUUGCCCCCAACUGGGGGGUGGGGAUUGGGGAUUGAUCGCCUUGCUAUGUUAUUCACAGAUUCACAAAACAUUAAGGUUUGCCUUUUUUUUUUUUUUUUUUUUUCAGAUUUAAGUUAAAAGUCUCUGUAAGUGCUCUGAGAAAUUUAAUGAGUUUGUCAAAAUAACAUUUGUUUUCCUUUUUUAUUUGGUGGCUGCAGGAAGUCCUUCUAUUCCCUGCCAUGAAGCCUCAAGAUGAACCUUCAUCCAAAGGUAAUUGAAUUUGAAGCUUGUUUUUCUCUUUUGUGAAUAGAAUUCAAAUUGUUGCUUCUGUACUUCUUUCGGUAUGAAAGAUCAGUUAGAGAUAUGCUAGCUCCCAUCCCAACUGGAUUAUUUUAAGUGAAAAAUAAAAGAAAACAAAUUCUUUCCUUGUGAGCCAGAGAAACUUUCUAAAAAGUAGGUUCAAGGGUAACACGAACUAUGUCAUUUGGAAACAUGUUUCUGAACUCUAGUUUUUUUGCCAUUGUUUGAUUCCAGAAAAUCCAAGCUCUGUGGGAACUUAAUGGUAUACGUUGAAAAAAAAAAAGAUAUCGAGUAAUCCAUUACGUUGUUAGAUAUUUCAUUAACUUACGGUUAUCCAGUAAAAGAAAAAAAGUGUACAAGAAAACCAGAAGGGUGAUCAGAUAUCUUAAGCAUGCUCAUGUUGUGUACUUUCAAUUAAGCAUUGUGUUUGUUUGAGUUGAGAAACCGUUUUUUGGUGAUCGGCAUUUAAAAUUCUAGUUGCCACUCAAACAACUCAGGUAAAGACGAAUUGACUCUGGAAAGGCCAUCAUGAGUACCAAAAGAUUGACAUCCUAAAAAAAUCUAAUAUUUAGUAUGCUUGAAGUCAAGCAAGUUGCAAUCUGAUAGUAUAAUCUCGAUAGCUGUUUUCUAGAUCACUCGACGUUUUUUUAUUUUUAUUUUGUUGGAAAAUUCAUAAUCAUGGUGCUUGAUGGUCGAAAGUAAACAACUCCCGAAGCUAGCGCGGUGAACCGGUGAUGCAUGAUUGAAGUUGGAUUCUAAAUUGUCAUGCCCUAUGUUGGAGCUUAGAUUCGGCUCCUAUUUAUCUCUAGGGAUAUACUCAGCAAGGCCUUAUUCUUCUUCUUUUUUCUUAUUUCCGUGUUACUAUCUAUCUAACCUUGUUAGAUAACUUUUUCUAUGGCAUGCAUCGUCAUCCCCUAAGAUAGCCAAACUAAGCCUUUUUUUGGUGGGGGAUUUUGCAGCAGCUUAGCUGGUUAUACUUCAAUCAAUCUCAACUUUGGAAUUUCCGAAAUUCUAUGUGACAAAGAGGAUUUCACGGAGAUUGAAAGGCGUACUCUUGGCUACUUCAUUUUUGUUCACUUUAUCUUCUAAUUGAAUAGGUGUUCAUAUAGAUUCUUAACUGCAAAAGUAUGCUUUUGUUUGCUGUUGUUUUUUUCAUUUUCUCACAUUACAGUUGUUGUAUGUGUUAAUUUUUGUUGCUGUCUAGUAACAUUCACAUGGGUAUUUAUACAGUUGAUGGGAUUUUUUUUUUUUUUUUUUUUUUUUGGGUGUUUUCACAAUCAGUGGGUUCAGUUGUUCUUGUAAUUUCUUAGGUAAAACUGUAUCCAAGUAACAUGAACUUUGGGUCAUAUUGAAAUUAGGCUAUUCAACUUUUGAAAAUCUUGGUUUUACUACAAAACCCUUGAAAUUGAUUAGUUGGAUUCAUUCGAUGGUUGUGAGAAAUUAUUAUUUGCAAUAUGCAAUUUGCCCUUUGCACGUUAUAAGCUUCGUUUGAUUAUUUUUUUUUAUUUGGAUUAUUAUUCUUUUUAUCAUUCUCUCAGGUUUGUUUGAUAUCUCAUUGGCUACUGCUUUAAAUUGCAUCGGUAUCCAAUCAUCUUUUGUAUGUAUAAAAUUUUGAGACUAUUGUUUGCAGCGAAAAAUCAGAAACUGGGCGAACUAUUUACCUGUCUAGCCUCUUUACAAAAAAAUAUUACCUAUCUAGCCUUCUUUUGAAAAAUAUUCUCCAUCUAGCCUCAUUUUCAAAGAUUAGAGAAAAAAAGAGAAAUUAAUACCUUUAAUAUAUAUUAAGGGGUUAAGUAGGGGAAAUUAUUUUUUUCUCUCUCCUCUUCUAUUUUUCGAGAUUCUUUCUCACUCUCUAAUUUUUGCGUAUAAUUUAUCUCAUAUCGAUUUAUUUUAAAAUAGAAAAUUUUUAUAUAGCGCAUCAACCAAUUUCAAUCUUUUUAUAUUUUGAUGGAAAUAUUAUGCAUGGUUCGGAAGGAGUUGAUUAUAAUGGUCCUGAUCCAAAACUAUUUGGAUUUCUCGUACUUUAGGUUUUAAUACAUUAAAACAUAAAAUUUAUAGGCCGAAUGGGAUCAAGAUUAUUUUGAUAUAAAAAUUAAUGGGAGAGGAGAGAGAAAAAGAUAAUCUCCCCCACUUAACCCCUUAAUAUAUAUUAAAGGAAUUAAUUUUUCUUUUUUUCUCUAAUCUUUGAAGAUGAGGCUAGAUGGGGAAUAUUUUUCAAAAGAAGGCUAGAUAGGGAAUAUUUUUUUGUAAAGAAGCUGGAUAGGUAAAUAGUUCAAACUGGGCUAUCUCAUUCUGAAAAAGGGGAAACUCAGUGUUCUCCAUCUAUUUACAUAAAAAGGAAUUACUAGAGAAUACUUUAAGAGUCUUUUUUUUAUUUUUUUUUUAAAUUUCCUGUGCUGUAUUAUUUUUGUUUCAAAAAUUCCACUAAACUAUCUAUUAUCAACUUCUGUACUGCAAGUAAUAAAUCUAUAACUCAGACAAAUUAUUAGUUCUUUUAAAACGGCACUGGAUGUAUAGUUGGCUCAUUUGGUUAGGUAAAAAAAAACUAGAAUAUUACAAAUAGCAAAAAAAAAAAAAGUUGAAAUAAAUAUUUCCAUAAAUUUAUUUUGGAGGCUCGUUUUGUUUUCUUUUCCUACCAUCUAACUGCCGCCUUUUUACUAUAAUUUAACUUCUGUUAAAAAUAAUAAAUUUACUGACACUUAUGUAGAAGUUGGUCAAAAAAUAAUAGUUAAGUGGUAUUUUUGAAAAAAUAACAAAAAAUAGCAUAUAAAAGUAGAUCUAAAAGUAAAGAGAUUGUUUUAAAAAAGAAAAAAAAUAUUCGAAUAUCACCCAUGUAGUUUCAUAUUUUCUCACUUUAGUACUCUGUAGUUUAAAAUGUAUCAUUUUUGUACCCAUUAAUUUUAUUUUAUUUUUUUAUUAUUCCAUCCACUAAUUUUUAUCGUUAAAGUAAUGACAAAGUUAAAACUAAAAGGUACUAAAGUAAAUAUUCGAUAAACUAUAUAGCCAGGGUAUCUGAAGUUUUUUAUAUAUGAUUUAAUGAAAGUUAACGAAGGAGUUGACGAAAAGAAAAAAAUAAAAUCACAGGGUACUAAAUUGAUAUAUUUUAAAUCACAUAAUACUAAAGUGAAAAAGUGCGAAAUUAUAUAUGUGGUGUUUAAAAUUUACCCUAAAAAAUUAUUAAAUAAACGAAAAAAAAAAAUCUAAAGCACAAUGUAGAAAGAUAUAAUUAAGCUAAUAUUUUAGUUAAAAAUAUUAAGCUAAUAUUUUUAGUUGAAGCGCUGAGCAAGCAUUUGGAAAAUUGGAAUCAAAAGUCACAGAGUCGUUGCAUCUCUAAACCUAACGCGUAGUUAAAAAAUAACCAAAAAUUUAAAAAAAAAACUUUUUUUAAUGAAAACCGGUGAACCGGAUAGUUAAACCAGGUGAACCGGAUCAUAUGGUUGACCGUUGACUGCUCCAUUUAAUGCUCGAGAAUAUUCCGUGCUUUUCGGAGUAUUCCAAUAUUGGGUGCACCCGGUCUAUAAUUACAGUUGUAUAAAAUUAUACCUUAAUAAAUAGUUACUGUCCCUUUAGUGGAGUUCUAUUUGGGGCAAAAAUUGUAUGGGCAUAAAAGUUUGGGGAGGAUGCAGAUGGGCGCCGCGUGGCCCGCGCGCCCAUCCUCGCCCUCCUCUCCCCUCCGCCGACUUCUUUCUCUCUCUGUCUCUAAAAAAAAAAACGGAGCUCACAAUUUUUUUUUUUUUUUUUAGGGUUUCCGAGGGUCGUGACUCGCGACGCGGCGUCCAUCGGCAUCGUCCAAACAACUUGUUUGGGGACGAUGCCCAGCAAAAUUUUGCCCUUCUAUUUGAUCCUUGCAUUUUUGAAUAUCUAAAAUAUUAAAAAAAAAAGAUUAUAUUAUAUCAAACCAAGGGCAUAUUUGUUUUUAUUGAAAGUGAAAGAGUGAUGUUGACUUCGACUGUAAAUAUUUAUUUUUUUUAUUUUCUUCGCUAUAAAUUAAAUUUGAAAAUAUUUUUUUUUUUUUCCAAGCGCCACAAUUGACUUUGACUAGAGUGAUACGGAAAAGAGAAAGAUGGAAAGAAUAAUAAAAACAUAGUAACUGGAAUUUUUCUUUUUUCACCCUAUAUGUGCUAGUGUAGAAAUUUUUAUUAAAGUAAUAAAAGAUGGAAUAGCAAAAAUAAAAUUUUCUUUAUUGAUUUCCAGUAAUCAAACAAACAAUAGUGGACAUUUUUUAAAUCUCAACUUUAGUUUAGCUAAAAUUAAUUCUUUCCCUCAAAAUUAGUUACGGGCAAACAAGAUGGCCCUAUAUUUGUGAAUUUUCAGAUGAUUUAAUUUAUUUUAGCAUCCAAAAACUACUAAAAAGUUUUUAUUUAAUCCUUGUCAAUAUUUGCUGUUGUAGGGCAAAUUAUUGGCUACACAUCAUGCAUUUGUACUUUUAUUAUGUUUUCUUUUGCUUUUAUCUCAUGUUGUGUUUCAAUUGUUUCGUCCAUAAAGUUAUAAAUUUUCUUAAUUUAGAAAUUAGACUUAUAAUGGCGAAUCCAUAAAUUUAUGUUGUGUGGGGCGUACAAAUGAACUGUGUCUCAAUUGUUUUAUCCAUAAAAUUAUAACUUUUCUUAAUUUAGAAAUUAGACUUAUGAUGGAGAACAGAUGAAUUUUUGGUGUAUGGGGGCGUAAAAACGAACAUAAUAAAAGUAAAAUAUUACUGAUAUUCAAUGCUUUAAAAUAUCGAAUUUAAGAGCUUGAGGACCAAGAAAUUUUUUUUUUCUUGAGAUAAAUCAGGAACUAGUACUAUAAUUCGAAUUUGAAAUAUCAGAUAUCAAUAAUCAAUUCCUUAGCCUAUUGCGGUAGUCACAAACAAUAUUAUUAAAAGGUCUUUAGUAUUUUAAUUUGAAUUUUACUAUAUAGUAAUCUUUGCAAAAAUCUAUGGCCUUUUGUGGGAUUAUAUUAUCAAAAGUAGUUAUUUAUAUAUUUUAAAAGGCCAAAAAAAUAUGCAUUUUUAAACUUGUAUCGAAUGCUAUAAAAUUACUUUGGAAAUAACAACUUUUGAUAAUAUAAUCCCACAAAAGGCCAUAGAUUUUUGCAAAGAUUACUAUAUAGUAAAANCAAAAGUAGUUAUUUAUAUAUUUUAAAAGGCCAAAAAAAUAUGCAUUUUUAAACUUGUAUCGAAUGCUAUAAAAUUACUUUGGAAAUAACAACUUACCUCUACACUAACUUUUAUCUACUAUAAUCUUGUAUAUAAUAUUAGAGGAGAGUUUUGAUGUAUUUUCAAUUUCUCGAAAGUUUCAGAAUAUAAAAAUUAUUGCGUUUUAACGCCACAAUUCAAAAAUUAGGCGUCAGUAUUCAAAAACAAAAAUAGAAAUAGGAUAAAUUAUACUUUUGGCCUUCAAACUAUGUAGCGUGCGACACUUUGAUCCUCAAAGUUCUAGUUCGAAUUUUCUAAAUUAUUACAGUUAAGUCUCAUGGGUACUGAUAUAUCAUAUUAGAAAAAAUUAAUCCAUGGGCUAAAGCGUAAGGGGCAUGGUUGUAACUUUACUAUUGCCAAGAUAUUUAUUGGAUAAAAACACAGGACAGUCCCUCGUACUAUUACAAAUAUAUAAGUAGGUCCUUUUAUUCUUUUAAUUUUCACACUAUAGUUUUUGAACUUCAAUAAACAUUAUACUUUAGUUUCUAAAUUUUUUAAAAAUUAUUUUUUAUUAUAAAAAAGCCUCUAUAUUCUUGCACAAUUUAAUUAUGCUUAAAUAAUUUAAACAACUUCCGAAGAACAUAACAUAAUUAUUUUGUAAAAAAUAAAUUUUUUAAUGACUAAAGAUUAUAAAAUAUAAUAAUAUAUAUGAAAGUUUAGUAGACUAAUUACUUUGAAUGACAAGGCAAUUGUACAGGGGCUAUCCAUACAUUUUGUUGCCUUUUUUUUUUUAACAAAUUUCUUAUGUUGCUGGGAAAAAUUGUAUCUUGCACUUGGUGUAUUUAUAUUUACCAUGCACCAACUAACACUAAUCAUCCAUCCAAAUCCUAUUUAAUCUUUUAAUUCUAAAUAUUUUAAAUUUGUAAUAUUUUGUAGGGGCUGUUGCUCAUUUACUCUUGUUUACUAUUCAAAAAUUUUAAAUUUAUCCUAAAAUUAUCAAAAUAUCUUUCUAAAUCAGCAUUCCCAUUAGUAAAUUUGACAAUAUUUGAAGGGGUUUUUAGAAAUCAAUAAGAGUAUUUUGGUCGAUCAGAAAUAUAUUAGAUAUUUUUAAAAUUUUGGAGGGUGUGUUAGAUAUUAUCCGUAUUUUUUAUUUGAUAUUUGAAUCAUUUUAUUUGAUUAGGUAUCAAUAUAUCAUAUGCUAGCUACCAAAGACUAAUAUUUUCUCACUAAUAUUUUUUGUUUUUUUAAUAGAAUUUUUAAGCCCUUCAAAAGAUAGAUGUAAGAGUUACAUUCUAUAAAUAGGGUGUACAGAUAAUAUUUUUUUUGAAAAAACUUCAAAUACCAUCCUUGUGAUUUCACACUUUCUCACUUCAGUAUCGUGUGGUUUAAAGUGUAUCAAUUUAGUGCCAUAUGGUUUUAUUUUUAUCUUUUUAUUAUCGAUUUCAUUAAUUUUUUUCAUUAAAUCAGUGACAAAGUUAAAACUAAAAGGUACUAAAGUGAAUAUUCGAUAAAUUUAAAUAGAGUAUCUGAAAUUUUUUUAUAUAUAGUUUAACGAAAUAUUAACGAAAAAGUUGACGAAAAAAUAAAAAUGAAACUAUACGAUACUAACUUGAUACACUUUAAAUUAUAAGGCACUCAAGUGAGAAAGUGCGAAACUAUAGGGGUGGUAUUUGAAGUUUACUUUUUUUUUUUCAUUAUUUCUCUUCUAUGAGCUUUAAUUACAACACUAAAAAUGUAAUAAUUAGUUAAUUAUUAUAAUAUAAAAAAAAAGAAUUAUAAAGAUUCAUCUUUCAACUUUUGCACCUUGUGUGGACACGGACCGGCUUGGACCGGACGGGGUAGUGGAGCGAAGCGAACCGGACCAAACUGGACCGGAGUCUUCCAUAAUUUAAUAAUUUAAAAAUAAACCGAGCCAAUCAGAGGAUGAGGAGUGCGUGAGAAGCUACGCUUAUGCAACGCGCUCCGCUAAUGAAGCACGUGAGAUUACUCCGUACGCCGGGUGCAUCCGUACAUCUUGUGAACCGCUGUUUUNUGUAGCAUCUUAAAAUCUAACUAAAAAUAUACAUUUUUUUUAAAUCAAAGUCUAAUCUAAUCAAUAUAACUUGCAAUAUUAAAACGGCCCAUUUAAAAGAUAAUUAUUAGUUAAAAUCACAAGUUUUAAUUUAUGAAAAAAAUGUCCAAAAUUGAUGAUUUCUUAUGUACGCUUCUAAAAUAUUUAUUUUGAGGCCAUUAUGAUUAAGCUCUAGUUGGAUUAUAAGGAGAUUAUAACAUAUAUUUUUAGUUUUGGAUCUGUAUUAAAAAUACUCAUACAAAUUUUUAAACAUAAACGUUAAAGUGGUUUUGCACUUUCUCACUUUAGUACCUUAUGAUUUAAAGUGGAUCAAUUUACUACCCUAUGGUUUCAUCUUUUUCUUUUCGUCAAAUUUUUUUUCGUUAAAUCAGUGACAAAGUUAAAAUUAAAAAGUAUUAAAGUGAACAUUCGAUAAAUCUAGAUGAGAUAUUUAAAGGUUUUAUAUAUAAUUUAAUAAAAUGUUAACAAAAGAGGUGGCGAAAAGAAAAAAAAUAAAACUAUAGAGUACUAAAUUAAUUACUUUAAAUCACAUGUUUCUAAAAUAAAAAAUUUCGAAACUAGAGGAAUAAAUAUUUGAAGUUUAACCAUUUUUUUAAUUUAUUUUUAGAUGCUGAUGAUGAUAACCUGUUGCACGUUAGGUGUACGGAUACACCCGGUUCAUGGAUUAAUUUCGCCAAACACAUGGUCUCCUCUCUCCACUCCCACUAUAUAAACCCUUCCACUAACCCUCUUGGCCUCCUCCUUCCCUUUCCCAUUUUCUUCUGUAAAGAUCGGACCACGGUGGCGGCCUCUUCGUCUCCAUCUCCUUCGCCUCCUCCGCGUAAGCUCUAUCUCUCUUUCUCUCGAACCCUUGAUCUCCUCUCUGAUGCUCGAUCUCUACUCGAUCGUUGCUUCUUUUCAUGUUCUCUCGAUCGAUCGAUCGGUGCCUAGGGUUUUGGAUCUUCUUCUUAGGUUGCGAGUUACGAUUCCUGAGGUUUUGAACUGGUAUUUUAGUUCUUAGGGCUUUGAUUGCUCAGCGGAUUGUGUUUUCAUGUCGAUGUAGGAGGAUUAGAGCUAAGUCGGACAGGCUAGGUAGAUUCAGCGUGCUGGUACUUCUCUAUGUUUGGUUUGGGUGAUAGGAAUUGAUUAAUGAUCUUAUUGCUUGAUUCAUCUUGUAUCAUGUGGUGCUUGAUGUGUUGAUGCUUUCUUUUUUGCCUUUUUGGUGCUUGCGUAGGUCAUUUGUGUGGUCAACUAUUGGGUUUUUCUUAGAUUUUUGUCUAUGGGACCAGGAUUUAUAGAUAUGGUGAAAAGCCUUUUUUUUUAUUUUUUAUAUGCUUAGUGGAUCAAGAUUUUGUGUAAGGGAUUAUUUCUUCAAUGUAUACUUUAGAUCGUAAGAUGUGUACCGGUGAGACUAUUCAUAAAUUGGAUUAUUUUUCGUUGCUAUUACUGAAGUCUCUUGAGCUCGAAGUAGAAUAUGCGUAUUUUGCUGCUCAAAUAGAUAGUUUUUGUGCCUUUUGUGUGGAGAGUGGGCUUUAGGUGGCACUGGUUCUUCAAAUUGUUCCCUUCUUUCUUCUUUACAUAGUUCCAUCUUUAGCAAAGCUAAUUGUAGUUGUACUGAAAUUGUCCAGGUGGUGUCGCCAGAAUUUCAGUCUUCAUUCCUAAUAUUUAUAUAUUUUAUUAAGUUAUUGACCUCUUAGGGUAAUAAAAGGGGUUUUGUGCUUCUUUUUUGAAUUUUUUGUAAUUUGUUAAUUGUUGCGUACAGGAUUGUGCUUGCACCUCAAAUGUCUUUUGUCAUCAGAAAGGAUUAUCGUUGGUUUCUUUGGUGUGACUUUUGGUUCAUAUGCCGUAGUCGGUUGUGGUGUUAUCAUCGUAUCUUAUUUCGGCACUGGACUUGAUAGAUAUCAAAGGGUUUGUGACAUUGGGCUUAAUAUUUCCUAUUUUAAGCUAUCAAAGGCUGUGAUUGUUAUAACUACCAACUCCCGUUCUGAUUUUAAGUUGUUACUUGUUAUCUUUUUUGCCGAACUAAGUUCGAUUUUGGAUACUGUUUUAGUAUUAAGACCAGAUAGCUCUUUCAAUAAUGGCCAAGACGUCCCUUCCGCCGGGCUUUCGGUUUCAUCCAACUGAUGUUGAGCUCAUUUCUUACUACCUAAAGAGAAAGAUAAUGGGAAAGCCAUUUCGCGUUGAGGCUAUUUCAGAGAUUGAGCUAUACAAGUUUCCGCCUUGGGAUCUUCCAGGUAACUGAUCUCUGCCUCUUGUCCAUUUACAAUGUUUUUUAAUUCCUUUAUGUUAAGUCACUGUUAUCUGUCAUUGCAUUUACUAUUUUGUCCAAUGCAGAUAAAUCUCUCUUGCUAAGCAAUGAUCGUGAGUGGUACUUCUUUUGCGCUCGAGAUAAGAAAUAUGCUAAUGGGUCGAGGACUAAUCGUGCCACUGAGAAUGGUUUCUGGAAAACUACUGGAAAGGACAGAUCGAUAGUUCACAACUCCCGUACUGUUGGGAAGAAAAAGACUCUAAUAUUUCAUACAGGCAAGGCGCCUCGCGGUGAUAGAACUAAUUGGGUGAUGUACGAGUAUAGGAUGGAAGACGAAGAAGUGGCUGCAGCUGGUUUUCAACAGGUAAUGGUUUUGUCUUGUAUAAAACAGCUUCUCCCAAUGGAUAUUUAGCUGAGUUUUUGGGUCUUGGAUUUUUGCCUGCUCUGUAAAAAAAAAAAAAAAAAAAAAAAAAAAAAAAAAAAAAAACAAGGUAUUUACGUUUUCACGGCAGCACUUAGCUUUCACAGAUACGUUAGUUUCAGAUAUAUUUCUAAAUAGUUCCAUUUGGGCUGUUUUUAUGCUUUAAUUCAGAAUUUUAUUCCUGCAUUACUUGAUAAUAUGUAAAAUCAGGUGCCAGUUAAAUGUAACUUGGUAUAUUAUGCUAUGCUUAUGUGGUCAUUUAUAUGGACAUCUCUUUACAGUUUGCUGAUGAACUCUUUCUUGUAAAUGAUGGCUUACCAUAUUCAAAACCUGGUUUAUUUGUUUAUUAUUAUUCUGUACUUACCAUAUUCAAAACCUGGUUUAUUUGUUUAUUAUUAUUCUGUAUUAUUGUUUCAUUUUGUGCACUUUUAAUUGGUGUUCUUGUUUAAAUUCCAUGCAUAGGUUGUGGACUUUAUUUCAGAUUGUUGCUAUAUAUGUGGUAGGCCUCACAAGUUAAUGUUCUUUAUCUUUGAUCUUUGAUGAUGUCCUUGUGGAAGUAACAACAUUGAAUUGCUAGACACACAUAUGCACAGAGAAGUAAAUUCUCAUGGCAAGCUAUUAUGUCUUGUCGGUUGUAACAAUGCAUUCUUGGGGAGAAAUAUUCAGUGGACCUCCCAUGUAAUCUCCUUUUGCUGCAGAAAUUCCUUCUAUUUGAGUGUUGUUUAUCAGUUAGGGGAAUGCCUGUUGAUCUGCAUUUACUUCUUUGUAUCUUUAGGUUCUUUCUAAAUUUCCUUUCUUUUCCCUUGUUGUUAAACUGCGUUCAGUUUAUCCUGUAAAAUGCAUUGAUAACGUAAGCUCUGCAGAUCCAUUCUUUGCUCAAAUACUGAGAAUUUUUCGUUUUUGUGCAUGGCUUCGUAAAACCAUCUUUCCAGAAUAUAUUGCAGACGAUAUGAUGAAAUACAUUCCAGUUUCUUUAUCUAAACAGUGUACUCUCUCCCUCUGCAUUUUGCUUCUUCCUAGUAAUUCAAUGGUUAUUUUAAGUAUAUUUGAUCUGACUAGAUUAUUGUCUAUGUAUUUCAGAUUAUGUUAUGCAGUAUGGUAAAAUGACAUUAUUCCUUCUUGCUGCAGAGUUCAUAUGUUCUCUGCAAAAUCUUUGAGAAAAGUGGAAUGGGUCCUAAAAUAGGGGAACAAUAUGGUGCUCUGUUUAGAGAAGAGGAUUGGGACAACGAUGAAGAUACUAUUGACCCUGCCUUUACUUUACCUAUUAUACCUUCUAAUGCUCCUGAAUCACUAAAUAACACAACAGCAGUACCAGUUGGCCAGCAAUCUGUUGUUUCUGCUGGGGGUGAGGCAUCUUCUGCUGCUAAUAUUCCUGGUGAUGAUGAUCUAUUAUAUGAUGACGGUAUAUCACUAGAGGAUUUGCUCGCUAAUUGCUUAGAUGACCCUCCACCUGAUGAAGGAAAUGAGGUAGACCAUCCUUUUUGAUUUUCAGAUAUUUAUAGAGAAUGUCAAAUGCUCUCCUUUGGUUUAGUGCAUUUGCAAUUCAUUACCUUCUGGUUUCAUUUCUUGUACUAAGUGCACCAUGGCCCCUGGUUAUUAUGUUGUUACUUCGUAAGGAACCCCCUAGUAAGGAUAGGUUAAAAGUGGCAUGUAAAGAUUAUGGCUCUGUUUAAUGCCCAUAUGCAUUUUUAGUUGGCUUAUAAGCUAUGUGCUAUAUCUACCCUAUUGUUGCUGUGAGGUCUGUGCGGCAUAGUGCAAAAAUGCAAGUUCGCUAGUAACUUUAUUGUUCUCUCACAUAUAUAUUAUAACAUAUACGUGCUGUUAUACUAACUAAAUUACUAAAUUGGGCCUCAGUAUGAAACUUUCUCGUAUAAAAACUAACUUCCCAUUAAUUGGACGUCUCCCUGACUAAAGAUAAGGGUACCUUUGGAAGAAACUGCACUUUUGAGGGGUAUGCAUGGAAUUCCAAAAUUAUAGGGAAUUCCAAAUUUAUAGGGUUAUAUAGAUGAAUCUUUAGUUUUGGACUGAUUAUCUUUUGUUUUUUCUACGAGUUGUUUUGAAUGUUGCGAAUUUGUUGUCAAAUGAUGGAGGAUUUUAUCUUUUCAAUUGGUUGCAAUGCAGCUUCCUGAUUCAACGACUCUCAACAACAAUAAUGAAGCUGUGGGUGCAGAUGCUGAGGGCAUAUAUGAUGAGUUAGAGGACCUCCUUGUAUGGAUGGAGGAGAGAGAGAUGGGCAGCUUGUACAACCCUGGCAACGUAGCUAACUGCGGAUAUGGGAUGCAACCCAUGCUGUCGGAUUUUGGAAGCGAACACUAUGUAGAGCUGAAUGAUCUUUGCUUUCUAGAGCAAAAUGACCUGCCAAAUGAUUUGCUUGCCACACACCCUCUCCAAUCUCGGAUGUAUUAUCCAGUCCCUGAUGCUGGUGCUGUUUUUCCUACUGCUUCCAUCGCCAACACUUCUUCUCCUUUAAGACCCACUCUUCCUGGCGAUGAACCAGACUUUUGAGGUAUAAAUUUAUCUUUCUUCUCUUAUGGCUGGUUUCAUAAAUGAAAUUUUAUUGUUGAUUGUUGAUUUGUUCGUUUGGUUUAAUGUUUGACAUGUCUCAGAUGCAAGGAUGUGAAGAUUUGUGGUUCGAUCUUUUUCCAUUUUACAGGAUAGAUGAUAUUAGAAGUACUUAUAAUCUGUGGGACACAGGAGGUAGUUUUUACUGUCCCUCCUGAUUGAAGCAUUUGGACAUUAAUUCUUAUUCCUAGCUGACUAUGCUGAUGGUAGCUUGGAGACUCUGAAUCUGAAAGUGAGUAUUCAGGAACAAAAAAAAAAGGGGAAAAAAAAUAAAAAAAAAGUGUGAGUAAUAGUAUUCAAGCAAACAGUUGCCUUUUACUAGUUAUCUUGGUGCAAUUCUCGACCACUUCCUGCACGGUAUCCAACUACUGUUUCUCUUCAAAUUAUUCUCUUCGUCGUCUCACACUCUGAGAACAUCAACUUCGUUGAAGUUUGUAGCUCAUUUGUUGUACCUUGGUGGCAUUAUUCGCUUGAUGAUCGGCUAGGAUCAAAUCCUGAUGACCUAGCCAAAGUGUUUUCUCGUUUCUGUAUGUCAGAUUACAACUCGGCGGGCAGUGGAAGUAGAAUUGAACAUGUGUUGCAGAACACAGAUCACAUUUCCACCGAGGUCUAUGGUUUGUAACUUAUCCAGCAAAUACGAUCACGGAGACUUGAGAGGUGGUAUCGUUCGACUCUUUUAUAGUGAUCUAUUUUCUCUUUUACUAUGUUAUUGAAGGGAAAACAAACUUGUUUUCGACAUUAAUGUUCUGCUAUAUAACUCAUGGGAAACUAUGCUAUUGAAGGGAAAACAAACUCGUUUUCGACAUUAAUGCUUUGCUGUAUUGUAACUCAUGGGACGUUGAUUUAUAUUGUAACUUUGUGGAAUUAGUAUGUUACAAUUUCUAUGCGAUAACAAUGUAGUUGCUUGCUUGUGCUAGAUGCUAUUCUAUCUCUGCAAUCUGAUUAUAUCUAAUGAACAAUCAGUAUGUUUCAGUUUAUUCAUCGUCCAAAGUUGUGUAAAAUUGGAGACAAAAGCCAUCUGUUUAUGGAGUUACAUGAUGCUAACUACGAAUUUGUGAUAAAUACCAGUGUCCAAUUUUCACUCGGUGUAGCUUGUGAACUUAUCACCCCCAUUAGUGAUCCUCUCAAUCCUCAACAUAAAUUGAAUUAGCGAUUUGUUAAAAUCGAGAGCUUUUGAUAUUUAUCAAUUGUUAGUAGUUUAUGAAAUCGGGAUAGUUAUUCAAGUGGAGAAAGCAUCUAGAACAGUUAGGAUUAAUAUUAUAGUUAUAGAUUUAAUAAAAUUUUUAGUUUUGCUGAUAAAUACAUUUAAGGGAAAACUUCAAAAACCCCCUAUGUAGUUUUGCAUUUUUUCAUUUUAGUAUCCUGUGGUUUAAAGUGUAUCAAGUUAGUAUCCUGUGAUUUUUCACUUUAUCAUUUUAGUAUCCUGUGGUUUAAAGUGUAUCAAGUUAGUACUCUGUGGUUUUAUUUUUGUAUCAAGUUAGUAUUCUGUGGUUUUAUUUUUGUAUCAAGUUAGUACCCUAUAGUUUUACUUUUGUAUCAAGUUAGUAUCCUGUGGUUUUUAAACCACAGGGUACUAAAGUGAUAAAGUGCGAAACCACAUGGUACUAAUAGGAUACACUUUAAACCAUAGGGUACUAAAGUAAAAAAAAUACAAAAUUACAGGUACUAACUUGAUACACUUUAAAUCACAGGGUACUAAAGUGAUAAAAAGUGAAACCACAAGGGGUAUUUAAAGUUUUCUCUACAUUUAAAGUAAAAGAAAUUUGAAAAGUGGGGGAGGUUUAGCAAUAAAGGAAAGAGAAUUGCUAAGUUUACAAAGCGAAAGGAUUAUAAACUCGGGAACCCGUAUGGUAAGGGGUUGUAGAGUUUACAAACUUUUUUUUUUUUGUGUGUUUUAAAGAAAAAAAAGAAAGUUAAUAACAUAAAUAGAGAAAGAAGGCCCUUGGAUGAGAGAGGUCAUAAGAUUUUACCAAAAAUGGGUUAUAUCUCGAGCAUGCUCUAAAAGAAACAAAGGUAAGUUGCACUAUCGUAUUCAAAUUAUGAGACGGUUGAUACUUUAAUUUGUUAUAAUUUGUUAUUUAAACUUUUAAAAUUAUUAUAAUUAUGUCUUAGAAUUUAAUUUAAUAAACUAAAUAUUGAUACAUUGCUGAUAUAAAAAUAAUAUAAUAUCUAAAUUUUUAAUUAGUGUAUCAUCAUAAAUUACAAUAUUACUAUAUUACUUCUAUUAUUCUAUAUUAACGAUAUAUUAAUAUUUAGCUAAAUAAAUUAAAUUAUAAAAAUUAAUUAUAAUAAUUUUAAAAAUUUGAGCUAAAAAUUAAAAUAAAUUAUAACUUGAGGAUCGAAGCGCCACUUGCCUUGAAGACCAAACGUGCAAUUUGCCAAAAGAAAAGUAAGGUAAAUACUAUUUGUGCAUCCCAAACCGGAUGCAUAUCUAUUUGUACAUCUCAAACCUGAUGCAAAUCUUAUAUCCUACUUAGUUGCGGAAAGAAAAGAAAGGUAUAUAUUAUCUGUACACUCCAAAUCGGAUGUAUAUUUUAUAUUUCACCCAUCUUACGAGUGGGAUAUUUUUAUUAGUCAUUUGAUUUUUUUUUUAGUAUUUAUUUAUUUUGGAACUUCCAUGUCCCCAUCAAGCCGAGCCAAGCUCAAAUCCAACUCAAACUCAAACCCACAUCGUUCCAAAAGUAACAAACCCGAAAUGGACACAACGAAGACCACAACCCGGUCAACACCGCUCCCACGGUCAACGCCCAUUCCCACCCCAAAAAAAAUAAUAAAACAAAACAUUAACACACUCGCCCCUACAUUUGGCUCGCCGACCAUCUCUCCCCCUACAUUCUCGCCCCUCCUAUGUUUCCUCCUCCGUACAUUCCCUCCACUCAAAUUAACACACCACCCAUUAUUCACAGAGACAGAGAGAGAGAGAGAAAAGCAGAGUAAUUUGCAUGAUAACAGAAGAAAAGAUGAGAAACAGUCUAUAGUUAAUGACCAUACUAUUUUUAACCACACAUGAUUNAAAAAGAAAACAAGAAAGAAAAAACAUCAUCACCAUUUCUCUCCCUCUUGUUCGAUCCUCUGCUUCUCUACAAAUUAAUUAAGUUCGUACAAGGGAAGAAAAACAAGAGAAAGGAAAUAAUAAGAUGGCGCCGAGCACGAUACGGAAGGCGCUGGGAGCGGUGAAGGACCGGACGAGCAUCGGGCUGGCGAAGGUGAGCAGCAACGGGUCGGUGGCGUCGGAGCUGGACGUGGCGAUCGUGAAGGCGACGCGGCACGACGAGUUCCCGGCCGAGGAGCGCCACGUGCGGGAGAUCCUGAGCCUGACGUGCUACUCCCGCGCGUACGUGGCCCGCUGCGUGGCCGCCCUCUCCCGCCGCCUCGGCCGCACCCGCUCCUGGUCCGUCGCCCUCAAGACCCUCGUCCUCGUCCACCGCCUCCUCGCCGACGGCGACCCCGCCUUCGAGCAGGAGCUCUUCUUCGCCACCCGCCGCGGCACCCGCCUCCUCAACCUCUCCGACUUCCGCGACUCCGACGCCUGGGACUUCUCCGCCUUCGUCCGCACCUUCGCCCUCUACCUCGACCAGCGCCUCGACUACCGCAUGCACGCCCGCCGCGCCCGCCGCACCAGCACCGCCUUGUGUCGAGGGGGCGAGGAGGAUGAGGCGGCGGAGGAAAAUGCGGAGGAGGAGAAUUUGGAGGCAACGACGACAGCGGCUUCGCGGGGGACGCCGGUGAGGGAGAUGAAGACAGACCGGAUACUCGUGCGCACGCAGCACCUGCAGCAGCUCUUGGAGCGCUUCCUUGCAUGCAGGCCUACCGGUAUUGCUACUAUUGCAGUAAAACAAACCAAAAUUCUAUAUAUUGCAAGAGUAUCAUUGCUAUAAAUUUUACAGUAAUAUAUAAAUGACUAAAUAUUACAGUACUGAUCACUUCCGCGGGCGGUGCAGGGGCGGCGAAGGCGAACCGGAUCGUGGCGGUGGCGCUCUACCCGCUGGUGAAGGAGAGCUUCCAGAUCUACUACGACCUGGCGGAGGCCAUGUCGGCCCUGAUCGACCGCUUCACCGACCUCGACGUCCCCGACUGCGCCCGCGUCCACAACGUCUUUGCCCGCCUGGCCAAGCAACUCGACGAGCUCGGUGCCUUCUAUGCCUGGUGCAAGUCCGCCGCCAUCUGCCGCCCCUCUGAAUUCCCCGACGUCGAGCGCAUCACCCCCAGGAAGCUCGACCUCAUGGACGAGUUCAUCCGCGACAAGUCCGCCGCCGCCGCCGCCCAGUCGCCGACUCUGAAUUUGAAGCCCCUCUCCCUCGAAGACGAAGAAGAACACGAGAACCGCCUCCCGGAGGACGACGCCUACGCCGACAUGGCGAACAUCCGCGCCCUCCCUGCGCCCGAAGAGGAAAACCGCGGCGACGACAACGACAUCAACUUGGCGAGCACGUCGAAAGCCGAAGCGAAGGCCUCGUCGACGGUAGGGGAAGAGCGGGGAAAAGAAAACGAAAGGGAAGCCGAUUUGCUGAACUUGGAGGAAGAUGUCAUGACGGGCGAAGAGCACGGCGAGAAGCUGGCGCUGGCGCUGUUCGACGGCAGCACCACAGAGGUGGCGCCGAGGUGGGAGGCGUUCGACGAGCACUCGGCCGACUGGGAGACGGCGCUGGUGCAGUCGGCGAGCGGGCUGUCGGGCCAAAAGGCGUCGCUCGGCGGCGGGCUCGACAUGACGCUGCUGGACGGCAUGUACGGCCACGCGCAGGCCAGCGCGGCAGUGGCUGCCUCCGUCGGCUACGCCGGGAGUGCGAGUAGUGUCGCAAUUCGGGUCCCGCCGGCGCAGGCGACCAUGCUGGCGCUCCCCGCGCCGCCGACAGCGGGUGGGGGGAUCGGGGGCGACCCGUUCGCUGCGUCGGCGAUGGUGGCGCCGCCUACGUACGUGCAGAUGUCGGACAUGCAGAAGAAGCAGGGGCUGCUGGCGGAGGAGCAGCAGAUGUGGCAGCAGUACGCGCGCGACGGCAUGCAGGGCCAGAUGAGCUUCGCGCGGCUGCAGCAGCAGCAGCAGCCGCCGAUGGCGGCCGCGCUUUCGCGGCCGCCGCAGAACGGGGCCUAUUACUAUCACCAGAACAACAUGGGUGGGUACAAUAGAAUGUAUUGAUGUACGUAUAUGGGGCAACACUGAUCAGGUGUUUGAUGUAUAUGAGGGACGUGUUUUUAGUAAUUUCAUGUGCUUUAAAAAAGCGCGGGAGAUCAGGAAGUGUGUUCUUUGCUCUAUAAUUAGUUUCUUUAUGUGUUUGUGUUUGUGUUUUUUUUUUUUUUUUUCUUUUUGAAAUGUGAAUUAGUUUGUAAAUUUGAGUUUUGGAUUAUUAAUUUGAGCCGAGUUCACUACAACAGAAUUAGAUUAUAGGAAUACAUAUUUAAAAUACUUUUAUGUAAGUGUUCUAUUUAUAUCAAAACUUUUAAAAAAAUUUAUUAAUGCCUAAAUAUAAAGCCCAAUCCAACACAAAAUAAAAUGAUACUCUAUUCAACCCACGCCACCUAGUCCAUUUGACCCGAUUACAAACAUAAAAGGAAAAAAAAAAAAUCAAUUACCAUCUCCCCUUCUCUCCACACUCAAUCCACUGAAAUUCUAGACGAAGAGCUCUUCCCACUCCUCAUCCUCCGCCACCGCAGCCAACGAGGUAGAGUUCUGGCGGUUGCUAAAUACUUAAAUAAGUGUUGAUAAAUUAGCAGUACUCUUUUUAGGUUAGAGCGACACUCUUUAACUGUCACUAUAUACCUAGCGACCCCACAUAUAUAACACUUUUUAAAAGUGUCGAUAAUUUAGCCAGCAGUAUUUUUUUUUACUUAUACCGAUAUUUAAAAGUAUCGCUAUAGAUCGUUUUUGUUGUAGUGGUUUAUGAAAAUAUCACCAGAUGGAGUGCAAAUCAUAAUAUUGAUCAGAGAAUUUUUUAUCUACGAGCUGGCGCAGCGGUGCGUCGAACUCGCAACUCAAGUAAAAAUUUGCGAGGAAUAAAUUAAGCUCCCUCCGCGAUAUCAUGAUAAACCGUUAAUUAGACUAUUUCUCUUUAGGGAGGCUUUCAUAAUUUUUUUUUUUUUUCACUAACAAAGUAGAUGGGAUUGCUAAAGAUAAGGCCAAAUUCAAUUUAGUUUUGAUAAUUUUGUUAGAUUUUUUUUUUUAUUUUUGUUUUUGUUUUUCUGUGGUAAGUUAGUAGAUAUAUGACUGGAACGGAUUAAUUUGUUUUUAAGUUAUACUCUUUUCUUAAUUAGUCAUAUUUCUCAUUAUUUAUCAAUUUGUUUUUUGUGUGUCCCUGUAGUAACUUGUUAGAUUCAGAGACUACCACCAUAUAUAGCAUAGAUGGAGUAUGAAUACAAAUGUAACAAAAAAACCAUCAUUCAUCUUGCUUUGACAUCCGUGCAAUUUACUUGAUGGAUGGCGUAGUUGAUGGUCUAACUUAGGGAGUUGUCCGUGAUAAAUUUUUGUUCGUUAUCUCAUUUAUAAUGCGUUUCUUCGUAGGGCAAAAAAAAAAAAAAAAAAAAAAAUCUGAUGAUUAUAUAAGAAAAUUAAUCACACUCCCAGAAGGACGUAAAUCGUGUUAGUCUAAAUGAAGAAAAAAGUUAACGAUUUAUUGUAGCAUUUAAUUAGUCAUCUGAUUAAUUACUUGUCUUAACACUAGUGACACAACAACCUUAGGCAUCCAAAAGUAUUACUAACUAAACCCAAAUUAGAAAACAUGUUUUACUCCAAAAUCUUGGGGUUGAAAACUUCCCAAUCCUAGUAACCACAAAUGAUUAAAUUUACCCAUUAUAUGGGCCCAUUUGGCCUAGAUUCUGGAAAAGUGAUUUCUACAGAAUUGAUUUUAGUUGGAAAAAGUGAUUUUGGUUAAAAGUUGUAGAGCGUUUGACUGAGUUAAGGUAAAACUGAUUUUUCUGAAAUAAUUUUGUAAAGCUGUUUGGCAAAAUCUUUUUUCAUGUCUAAUCUUUUCAUGCAACUGUGAAUCACUACAUAAAUGAUCACUCUCCUUUGCAUGUGAAUUGCAUUGCACAUGUCUGAUACAGUAAUCUAGAUUUGUGGCAGACAUGAAGUUCUAUCUAGUGUUAGCUUUCCAACAAAAAUUAGUUGGUCUUUGUCUGAUGUCCCAAGUGGUGAUCUUUAUUAUUGUAGUUACUUGAUAGUUGCAAUUAUUUGUACUAAGUAUCUGAUUGCCAGAUGAAUCAUGCAUUGCGGAUCUGAAAAGAGAGUUUAAUUGUAUUCAUGAUUGAACCUUUUCCGAAAGAGCAAUGCUAACUGUCACGUCUUAAUCGAAUCAUGUCCCCAAUUCACUAGCCUAAAAGAAUUAUCAAAUGAUAUGAGACCCAUCUCAUACGUCUGAUUGGUAAAUUGACUCUGUUCACUAGAUAGUACUGGUAAUUCGUUGGACCCAAACCAUUGGCUCAAAAUACUUGAGUCUAGUUUUUAAUAUUAGAGUUUAUGAUUUUUAUGUUCCUAUUCAUAAUUCUUUAUCUAAUUGAUGUGAGACUAUUUGAGUGUCACAAAGUCUCUCCAGAUAAUUAGUGAAAAAAGAGAAAAAAAAAACUUAAUAAGACUAGUGGAUGAAUCCUAGCCGUAGAAAGUAGGAUGUAAGAUAUACAAGUAGGGAUGUAAUGUGGGCUGUGCCGGGCCGGCACGGCCCACAUUUUCCGGGCCGAAACGGGCCGCAGGCCAGCCCGGCACGACCGGUCCCAAAAUCGGGCCGUGCCGUGCCGGGCCAAAGUUUUUGGAACCCGGCCCAGCACGGCCCUCCGGCCCGGACUGCACGGGCCGGGCUUCGGGCCAGCCCUUUUUUAUUUUAUUAAUUUUAUUUAAAAAUAUUUAAAUUUUUUGAAAAAUAAAAAUAUUAAUAUUAAUUUUUUUNAUUUAUAAAAAUAUUAAAAUUUUAAAUUAUUUUAAAAUUUUAAAUUUUUGGGACCAAAAUACCCUCCCAACAGUCAAAUUUUUGACUGUUGGGAAGGGCAUUUUAGUCCAAGCCCAACUCCCAAAGCCACAACCCAAUCUUUGACUAUUGGGAGUCCCAAAGCCACAGGCCACAGCCCAACUCAUUGGGAGUUGGUGCCUCCCAAAGCAUUGGGAGUUGGUGCAGCCUUGUACCCAACUCCCAAGACCCUUCCUGGGCCCGGCUCGGGAGGGCCUGGCCACACGGGCCGGGCCGUGCCGUGCCGGGCCGGGCCUGGGUACCCUCUAGGCCCGGCACGACCCAAGCCUAUGUCGUGCUGGGCCGUGCUGGGCCAUCGGGCCGCGGGAGCAAGGCCCAGCACGCCCGAUUUAACUGGCCGGGCCGGGCCGGCACGGCAUGCUACAGUACUCGUGCCGUGCCUGGCCCGGCCCACUCCCGUGCCGGGCCCGGCCCACUCCCGUGCCGGGCCGGGCGGGCCGCGGGCCGCCCUGCCCGUUUGACACCCCUAUAUACAAGUACGUUCAAGGUGUAGAGGUAGUAUUGCUCUACUUUUUUUAGCUUGUAAAUAUAAAGCAGUAUUAUAGAUCAGGACACGUAUAAAUAAGAUGUAAAUCUUGCACCCUAGUCAUCCAAAGACUAAUACUUUUUUACUAGUCUUAUCAACCUAUUUUUUGAUAUUAAAAUUCAAAAAGAGUAUUUAAAUCUUUCCAAGACCGGGUGUAAAAGUUACACUUACUUAUAGGGUGUAUACAUGUAGCAUAUUUCAUAAAUAUAUGUUCGAUUCUACUUUAAAGUGUAAUGUUAAUUGUUCAAUUAAUAGUGUUUGAUCAAUGCCAGUAGAGAAAAAAUUAUAAGAAUUUUAAUUCAGUUCUGCAUAAUUAAAAGUUAUAGGUUUUCUUUUUAUUGCUUGCAAUAUGUUCUACUGGAUAUAACUUCAACCGAAAUGAACGCAAAAGCUCAACCAAAUAAGACACGAUUUAAAUUAGGAAAACCUACUCCAAGUGAUAGUUCAAACUCUUGUUUGGAAUCAUCCACCACUUUAAUGAGGAUACAUUAAGGGUGCGUUUGGUUCGCGCUAUUUUUUUAAAAUUCCUAAUAAUUCAAUAGGAAUAAAAAAAUAUGACAGUGUUUGGCUAAACGCACUAAGUAAUCUAGUUGGUAAUAUUAGAUUUACUUGGAAAUGAGAUUCAUCCCAAAGUACUAAUCUCAUUCCCUUGAGGGAGGGUCGGUAUCCUCAUAUUAAUGGAUUGGGGUAAUCAUAAUAUGUCUAAUCUCUUUCUUUCUCCCUACCCGCCGCCGGCUAGUUGGUAUUAUUUUUCUUUACACUCUAACCUCAUAUCUCUCUCUAAACUUUUUUUUUCUCUCUAAACUAAGCUCUCUUUCCCCCUCUUUUUCUAAAAUCUCAACUCUCUCACUCCCUCUAAUCUCGACUCUAUUUCUCUUCCUAUUUCUUUAAUUAUGCUCUCUCUCUCUGAUCUAUAUUCUCUCUCUCCCUUUUUCUAAAAAGAUGUUGAAAUUUUUGGUGGCUGUUGGUAGCCGAAUUUCUCGACCCUUGACUCAGUCAAAGAUCAUCCUCGGGGAGUACGUCGGGGUGAGGAACGGCUGCGGAUAGUGACCCUCGAAGUUUGUGCCAUUCGACAGAUCAAGCGAUUCGGCUGACAAGGGAUCGGAUCAGCCGGGUUCGAAGACCUCUACAGUAAAUUCGGUUCGGUUGGAGGAGCCGAAUGUACGAACUGUGCAGUGAUCAAUGUCGGCAGAAGAGCCGAGUAGAAGAAGUACACAGUAACUAGUUGGCUGAAAGAGCCGAAUAAAUGAAAUACACAAUGACUGGUCGGCUGAAAGAGCCGAAUGUCUAAAUAUAUAUAUAUUAAUAAAACAAAGUGUGCCUGAAGGGCAUACAGACUCUGCAAAUAUGUAGUUUACAACGGAGUGAUGCCCGUAAGGCAGACAGACUCCAGGGUUCUACUUAAAAACUACUCCUAGGAAAGCAGUAAAUGCGAAAAAAAAGGAUUACAUUUAGACUACUCCUAGAAAAGCAAUAAAAUUGCAAGAAAAAUAGGGUGGUCUUCUCGUUCAGGGGGGAGAAAGACCCUUCUUGCAGGUUUUAAAAUUACUAUUUAUAGUAACAUCAACCCACAUUAUUGGUUGGUUGAGGGAGUGGUUGUAACCAUGAUCGCGGAAGUUACGCCUCACUUCUCAUGAAAGUUACGUCCCACUUCACAUGGAAGUUAUGCCCCACUUCACAUGGAAGUUACGUCACACUUCUCAACUGUUGCCGCCUAAACGCUCUUGGCCUUCAGGCGCCUUAUCGCCGACUCCUGGUGUACCACGUGUCCUUAUUUCUUCGGCUCAUAUGUGGACUAGGUCGGCGUGUUUAUUUCAAAUUUGGCAUCAACAGUGGCAUUAUCUAAAAUUAAUUAAAGAAAUAAAUAAAUUAAUUGUAUGUUUUUUUGUAAACUUAAAUAACAUGACUAAAUAAUAUAACCGUGCGAACCAAACACAGGAAUAACACAUUCUUAGUAAUAGGAUGAAUAGGAAUAAGAUUCUCGGACAUCUUUUUAUUACUAGUAAUCUUUCAUAGUGCGAACCAAACGCACCCUAAAGCAAAUUUAAAGCACUUCUCUACAGAAGCCUAUUUUGCGUGAUCAGAAGGAUGUUAAAACUAAGGAUUAAAGUGCCGUGACACGGAGUCGUGCGGAAAACUUGUCAGUACGGUACGGUACGGUACGGCACGGCACGGUACAUGCUAGAUCGUGCCGAUACGUGCCUGUCACAAAUAAUUCAAGCGUACCGACACAUAAUAGUAUGAAAUAUUUAUUUUCUUUAGUAAAAAAAUAUUUUAACUGUUUAUAUCAAAUCUUUUGAACUUUAUUAAAAAAAUUACGUACUAAUUUAAAGAAUAGAAGGUUUUGAGCUGUGCUAUCGGUACAACGGCUAUAUCAUACUGAUGUCUUGUUGGCACGAUACAUUAUGGUACAUACGAUUCGUACCAAUGGACACUUAAAUACCUAGUUAACACUAUCUAUUCUACAUAGCGGUUGUUAGUGGACCUAAUAUGAUGCAUAAAUUUCACAAGAAAAAUGCAUAAACAAUACAAAAUUAAUUUGGUAGGUUGAGGUUUCAAACAUAUAUCGCAUCAUCAUUGGAAGGAAAUAUUUGAAAAAAAAAAAAUAGGGAAAUAUAAUAUUAUCAAUUUUCAUAUGUAGUAGCGUACCAAAUACCAUUUCUAUAAUUAAUAGUGAAGUUCUAGAAACCGAGUCAAACAAGAAUACAAUGCACUUUGGAAAGCUUUAUUUUUUUAAAAAAAUCUUUUUCGAAUUUCUACCAUCUUAUUCUCAGAAAAAAUAUUUAAAAACAUGUUUUAUGAGACAACUCUACCAAAAAAAUAACUUUUGCAAAAGCUCUACUGAGACAUUUAAGUAGGCCUUGAGAUUCAGAAGCUCGCAAUAUUUGUACCCUCCAUCCAUCACUACUACAACUUGAACAAAGCAUGCAUCUAAUAAAAGCUCAAGCUCUUCUUGUCACACUUUUUUAGAUUGGCAUAUACUCGUUGUAACAUUUUGGAAUUUGAAAUAGACACCUUAUAUAUAAGAUAUAAUUGGACUAAGCAUUUUAAACCGUUUAUAAAAUUUUAGGUGGUAGUUAGUCGGUCAAGAGAUUGAGAGGGUUGAGCAUGCUAGAACUAGAGUAGUUCUAGGAUAUUAACUUCUUGAGAAGUAGAGUGUUACAGUUAGUAUCAGAGCAAAUUACCAGCCGAAAGUGUGAGAUGGGUCUCUGUUGAGCUAGGAUCAUACGGUGGUUAGAGCGCGACUCUCCACUUCUAUAUAUGAGAUAUGAUAGGACUAAAUUAACUUCUUAACCUAAGAUGGGCGACGGCGUCACACUUGAUCAUCUCCUCUUUUAUUUGAUUAGAAUUUUAUAUAUCUAAUCGCAAAGUAGCAUCAUUCAUAUUAUGUUUGGGUUGUGAUAUUCCACAUUCAUAUUAUGUUAAUGGAAAAAUCUAAAUUUUUUUUUCUUAAUUUCUUCCCCAUCAUUCAUAUUCUUCAUGGCUGUAGAUUCUCUUAGAACUUGGAAUCCUUUUGCGUUGUGAUAUUCCACAUUCUUGAAGCAUAUUAUGUUAGGGUUAUUUGGCAAUGCAAGAUGAUGCUCCACGUACGUUCUUGGAGCAUAUUAUAUAUGUUGGGGUUAUUUGGCAAUGCCAGUUACUCUCUUGGUCUAGCUCCUUGAAAGUAUAUAUUUGGCAAUGCCAUUUACUUAAUUUCUAUUAAUUAACCAUUAAAGAUAAUCAAAUACUAGGCGGUUGAUGACAAAAAUUCAUAAAAACUAGAAACUAGAAAGUUCAAACAAUCUAGAUCAAUUUCGACGGUACCGAUCUUCGAUUUAGAUAUUUUAGGCCUCCCAAAAUGUCUUUACUAUAUCAUUACAAGUAGGGAUACAAAUGGGGCGGAUCUGCAGAUGGGAGCCCCACCCCACCUCCCGCCCCGAAUCCUUGACGGAUUAAAAAAUAUAUCCCACGCCAUAAUCCGUCUUGCCAAUUAAUAUAUAUUUUUUUAAAUUAUAAUAUAAUUAAUACUUUGUAAAAUAUAAAUUAAUAAAUUUUUAAUAAUAAUGAAUAACAUUACUAAUUAUAUAUAAAAUUAACAAUAUUAAUUAUAAAAAUAAAAAAUAUCAAUCGCAAUUUGAAGCAAAAUACAAAAAUUUCAAAUACAUGAGAAAUGAGAGCGUCAAUUUAUUUGUAUUUUGGAUUUUUUUUAAUAAAUAUAUUAUUUUUUAGAGAUAUUUUCUUAAAAUACAAAUAUUUUUCGGAGCGGAUCAUGGCAUGGAUUCGAAGCGGGUCAAAACUUUUUCCAUUUUCUGUCCUGAAUUUGUCUCGAAUCAUAAAAAUUAUCCCAUUUUUUGCUCCAAAUUUAUUUAUUUCUUUUCGUUUACUGCCCCAUUUGGGACAAAUCGGGACAGGAGCUAUACCAACCCGGAUCCGUUUGCAUCCCUAGUUACGAGGGAAGCUGAUACUACAGUGUUCAAGUUUUUUAGUGCACACUCAGAAAUUUAAACUCCCAACUUUCUAGCUUGAUAACAACUCAGGUAACAACAACAGUACUUAGUUAUUGAGUUAUUGUAGCCAAAUGCAUGCGAGCCUUAAUUAACAGUAGUGAAGGCCCGCGCUACGUGGCGAAAAAUUUAUAUAAAUUUUAAAAUAUUUUAAAUUAUAGUAAAUAGAAGAACUAUACUUCAAAAAAAAAAUAAAAGUUGUUAUGAGAGGUUCAAUGUUUGUCUCCACAAUCUUUAUCAACAUCACCUAAAUUGCAAAGUCAGUAAUAUAAGAUUACCAUUUGUAAAACAUCAAAUACUAAAUUUUUAUUUUUAUUUUUAUUUUUUGUAUGUGAUCUACAACCCUACAAAAUAAAAAAAAAGUUAAAAAAGGAAAAAAAGAAGAAAAAAAAUUGUUUGUCUCACAGAGAAAAAAAAAAAAAAACCUGCACCGCGCCGGCUCGGGCCCGCGCCCGCUCCCUUCCGCCCGCAAUCCAUCGAAAUAAGGAGAUAUUCGAUUUAAAAUUUAAAUUUCAAUUUAAAAUCAAAUUUUAAAUUUUAAAUUUAAUUUUUAUUUUUUGUAUGUGACCACAAACAUACAAAAUAAAAAAAAUAGAAAGAGAAAAAAGGGGGAAAAAAGUUAGAAAAGAGAAAAAAGAAAAAGAAAAAAAGAGCCAUACAAAAAAAAAUAGUUAGAAAAAAAAAGUUAAAAAUCUCCCCCCCCCCCCCCCCCCCCCUCUCUCUCUCUCUCUCUCUCUCUCUCUCUCUCUCUCUCUAUUGCGAUAUAACCACAUUUUUUUUAAUCCCGAUAAACAAAGUAUUUUAACUCCACCAGUUAAUACUUAAUUACAAUGUAUUCUUAACAGCUCAUUUUAAUUAACUUUCCGUCGCAGCAAAAACUCUAAAUUAUUAAUUUAUUUGGGCUACAUUACAGAAAAUAACUUUGUAAAUUUCUGCUUUUUUAUUUUGCUUUCCUGACUUUCAAAAAUUUAUAUUUGCCAACUUAAAAUUUUAGAAAUGUUUUCAAGAAGGUAUUGCGUUAAUACAGUCGACAAAAUGAUCAAAUUGCUCUUUCUUUUUCUAUAAGAAAAUUUUUUUUUUAAUAUAUUUAUAUUAUUUUGAAGGACAUUUUCGAUAUAAAUUAUAAAAAAUAGAUGGAAUAUUAAUGGAAUCAUGACGGAAGGGCGGCUAAAUGCAACAAUCUGAAAUGUCGAGAGGUAAACGUAGGUUUUCGAAAGUUAGGGAAGAAAAGUGAAAAAAGCUGAUAUUUACUGGAAGGAUUUCUAUAAUUUAGCCAUUUAUUUGCUAAAUACUCUCCUUGGGAUAGUUAUGGUUAAGUCACCAAUAUCCACUUGUAAUUAAAGUCAUGAAAAAAUCAAAUGCAUUAUAGUGAUGUAAACAUUUGUUAACUUUUGCAGGUGCCUAGCUAAUGGAUGUGGCAGCUUAUUGGGAGCCUUACAACUGAUCCUAUAUACGCUAUUUAUAGGAACCACAAACACAAAGGAGAUGGACCCACCAAACGAGACUUGAUCCAGUUGACCGAGCCCAAGUCCAACAUAGAAUACACACAAAGCAUGGACAUAAUAAAUAACCAAAUCCACCAGACCACCACCAAGUAGAUAAUCAAGCGUAGAAAAAAAAAAAAAAGUUAAAAAUUUAUGCUAAGUUUUUUUUUUUUACUUAUUUUUGUUAUGGUAGAAUUAAGAGGAGUAUUUGUGGGAAUCCAUUUGAUCUAAUAUUUAAAUGGGUCCUUUUUUAGUUCUUUUGAGUCAAAUUGAGCCGAGUGACCCAUUUUGGAUCAAGUGAGUCAAGUAGGGCUCUAUGAGUCUAGUUAGGUAAAGAAAAUAAAAUAGAGUUAAAUAGAGAGUCAAGGAGAGGGAAAAAUUAGCUUCUUCAUUUCAUUCUAUUGUGUGGUGUCUCUCUCAAGAGUGAGAGAGGUGUGAAAUAGGAUCCACAAGCUUUCUAUUUUCGUUUAUUUUAUUAAUAAAUAAACUUAGCUGGAAAUGUUAGUCGAGUAGGAUUCGAACUUGGGAUCUCAGAUACCAAUCACCAAACUCUUUACCACUUACGCUAGGGACUGUUGAUGUUUUGAUAUUAUUGUUGAAGGUGAUCGAAUGUUUAUUUGAAGUUUUUGAGAUUGUCAAUGUAAGCUUCUUAUUACUUUGUUCUUGUUUUUGAUAGUGGUUGUGUGAUCUUCACUGUGUAUAAAUUAUAAAACUAAAGUUUCAGUUUCUAUAAAUACGAAGAAAAGGGUGUGCUCAAAUUUGAGCUGUCUCAUAUACAUACUUAUCUUUUUUUAGAAACAAGAGUUUAGUUUUGGGUUUAAGUUGCUCGUACUUCUGUUAGGUUACUUGGUAUAUAUUUGUAACAAUCUUGGUAGAAAAAUGUGCCUUUGGGAAAUUAAUCCCAAAUCAUGUUAAAAAUUGAAUGAAAAAGGAAAAUCCGUAGCUACUCUAGCUAGUGUAAGAAGAAUGCAAAGUUUGUGUUUGUCUCUAGCUAGCUGUGAAGAGAAUUCAAAGUUGGCAUUUGUCUUGCCUAGCUUUUCAAAAAAUUAAAUACCUUCUAGUGCCAUAGUAUUUUAUAAACAAAAAAUAUAGUAAUGUCUUUGCUAUAUUAUAUGGACGUGACAUUUUAGGUUCUAAAAGUAAAAGCUCUAUUCUGUAGCUCGGUUAUGAGAUUUUUUUUUUUUUUGAAAAAGUUGUAGUGGUAAAUAGUUAUUUCUUUUUAUAACUUAAUAAUCUUGGGAGGUCGAAAAUAAAUAUAAAGAAAUUAAUUACACGAGACAAGAAGCUAAGGCUUGAAAAUAUCUAUCUUUCUUUGUUUCUAAAAUAAAAACUCUAUAUGAUUGGAUAUGUCAAAAAGUAAAUGCCAUGACCCAAACCUUCUUCAUUUAGGUUGUGACCGCCAUGCUUUCAUAUGAUUAAAGUCUGAAAUUCAAAUUUGAAUCAUAUGAAAAUGCAAUGUUUAAGGAAAAAAAAUAGCACCUAGUAGUGAGUUAUUCUAACGAGAGAAACUUAUAAAAGUGAUCCACACUUGUAACCUUGAGUGAUCUUAAUUAUGUGAUGAAAAAGUUGGUAUAAUCGUCUUGUUGCUUACUUAUCAAAGCAUCCUACGUACGGUGAAUAUAUAUCCAAUAUCUCUGGGCUUGAGGAGUUGGCGGGAACGUAGGCAGAGUGCUGAAUAUCGAAAAAAGUCGAUCGCAUGCUUACAUUUGAAUUUAUAAAGAAAAUUAAGUUCAAACAUUCAAAUGUAUAAACUUUAGAAUUAGAAAAUAGGAUAAGAGGGUUGCGGACUCACAGUGAACUUCUUUAUACUAGCUUGGAAUUAAUGCAAUUAAUUUGGUCCGAUAUUAAAAGGUAUCUUCAUUAAAAAAAAAAAAAAAAUCCAACAAAGGGAAAAAGAUUACUGCUUUCGUGAAUAAAGUUGUUCUUCGAUUAUCAUUUCAACUAAAAAUAAUAAUUUUGUCACUAAGUACUAUCUUUUAUGGUUCGAUGCAAUUCAAUUUUAUCGGCCAGAGAUGCAGCUGUUAUAUGAAACCUUUCUUGAAAAGAACACUUUAAUUCAUUUUCAUUUUCUUCAGCUGCGAUGUGAGGGGCACCUUUUUUUCUACUGCUGAAAUUUGCGUCGUUGAUGAAGAAAUCUAAUCUUAGGAAGCAAUUUUUCUUCAGCCGCGAGGUGCGGAAUACCCCUUUUUUCUUUUUUUUUUUUUUUUUUUUUUUUUUUUUUUUUUUUUUUUUCCUACUGCUGAAAAUUGUGUUGUUGGAGGGAUUUGUGACAGAGAUUGGUAAAAAAACACAUGCAGUGAAUUUUCAUGCAUAUAUUUUUGUUCAAAGGGCGUGCCAAUGAAGAAUGUUCUACCAGUUACUUGUCGUCAUUGGGCGAAACUACUUACUCUAAUAGCACGUUUGGUUCAAAAUAGGAAUCGAAAUUAAAAUAAGUUGAGCUGAAAUGCUGAUCAAUAGCAAACAGGCUGCAUUAUUACCGAUUUAUUUUUCGAUAAUGAAGUCUUCAAAUCAACGAUCGGCACUGUUGAACAUGAUUUACCACUUUAUAUUUUUAGAAACUAAAUUUUAAACCUUUUUGAUAUCAUUGACCUAAUGAUAAAAAAAUUGCAGAUUUUGUAAUUUUAAUGGUCGAUAUAAGAUGUUUUCAAAUUUAACAGCGUAAAGGUAUCUAAAUUAAUCGAAUUUUGAUUAGAAAAUUUCUUAAACCAUUUAAAACAAGAUUUAUACUCUUAAUCUUGAUUACAAGACUUCUAUCAUUAACAUUUUAAGAAUACUCAUUUUCAGCUAUUCAUUUUUGUGACCACUUGAUGGAUAAUAGAAUAAUAUCAAAAAAAUAGAAAAUUUGAUUUUUAGAUAGUUUAAAUGGAUUACGUCAUAUUUAAUAGUGUUAAUCGUCAAUUUGAAAGUUUCAUCAUCAAAAACAAAUGAUAACAACGGAUAGUAUCCCGGCUUAACUACGACCCGAAUCUCAAGCACCCCAAACUCCUUAUCCCCUUGCAGGCUACAUAUUUCGUAACAAAAAGUGUACAAAGCAAACACCAAGGAUUAAAGUGCCCAUCGGCACAGACCGUAUCUACUGUAUCGUAUCGUGCCAGUAAGAUAUUGGCAUGAUACAGUUCUUGUACCGAUGGCACAAUUCAAAACCCUCUAUUCUUGAAAUUACUAGGUAAUUUUCUCAAUAAAGUUAAAAAAAUUGAUAAAAUUACAUAAUAAAUAUUUGGCAUAUUUUUUUACUAAAAAAAAUAAAUAUUUCAUGCCAUUAUGUGUCGGUAUAUAUAUAUUUUUUGUGACCGAUACGCAUCGACACGACCUAGCACGCAUCGGGCCGUAUCGUGCCGGCAAGUUUCGGCACAACCCGUGCGACGAUACUUAAAUUCUUAACAAACAAUUUUUUAGAUUCACUUUGGGAUCUUACAUUCAGUAUAACAAUAAAAAUAGAAAAGUCUUUGACUUUUAUCGCUUGGUUUGGAAUCAUUUCAAGGAUUCAUAGAUAGCAAUCAGAAAAUAUUAGGAUGGAUGCAUUAGACGGGCACCUUCAUUAACUUAUUUCUUUUUCCAUUUUAUUUGAUAUAAUAGUAGAGCUAUUCCAGUCAAAUUGUCUAAAAUUUCAUUUCUUUCAUAAAGAAAACUUCAAUGCAUAUUUUAUUAAAAGGGUUAAUUUCAUACAAGUUCCUACAAAAAUAGUGGAUGAUAAAUAUAUUACUACAAAAUUCAACUUUUAUAUAUUAUCACUACAAAUGUCCUGAUGUUUUCAAAUAUGUCUCUUUAGUUUGUUAUCGUUAGACAACUGUUUAUAUUUUUAAUUUUCGCCAUCACAAAUAUGUUUCUCUGAAGGUCACAACAGUUUAAUGUAAAAGGGGUAAAAAUAUCAAAAACUAACCAGAGUUUAGUAUUUAACCUAUGGAGGUCGGCGAGUGUCUAUGCUUCUUCAAGUACCAGUUCUUUGCAUAGUCUGUUCCACUUUAGCCGCUUUCAAAAGUCCAGUGUCUUGUUUUUCUCUUCCAGAAGAGUUACGAAGGAGAUGGCGAGGUCAAGCAGCGAUACUACGUAUAACUAAACGACAGAGAUAUAUUUGAAAAUAUCAAGGCUUUUGUAAGGAUAGCAUAUGAAAGUUGAAAUUUGUAGAGAUAUAUUUACCAUUCACUAUAUUUGUAGGGACCUGUAUGCAAUUAACCUUUUAUUAAAAUGAUUGAAUCAACUUGGAAGCUACCCAAGCUAUAUAUAGCUUAAAAUAUCCUUCUGCAUGUUACAUACUCCCCAAAAUUCUAAUUUUCAAUUAUUAUAAAAUUAUAAUUUUUUAAAAAAAUUUAAAUUCAAAGGGAUAGAUUUACAAACCUUGAAUUUUAUUAUUAAAAUUCAGAAAAAAUAAAAUUAAAUCUAAGGGAUAAGACCACAGGCCAUGAAUUUAGAAUUGUAAUCCUUUGAUUUUUUUUUUUUUUUUUUUUUUUCAGAUUGUAGACUUAUUAGCAUUUCUCAUAUUUUAAUAUUCAUGUCAAGCAAUUUUUUUUUAUUGGAGCAAUUGCUUAUAUACUCCUAAAAAGUUUCAGACUUUAUUAUUUAUCUCUAAGGUUAAUAUAAAAAAUACAUUUUUAAUGAGUUAAAUUAUGUUAGUGAAUUAUUAGUAACAAUCGUCAUUUCUGUAAAAUUAAUAUUUUACCCUUCCAAAUAUAUCUUUUUAUCAUGAUCAACUUUUUUUAUUUGUCCUUAAAUUUAGGGUAAAGAAAGUAUUUUUUUCUUUUUGCCUGUUCAGAUAUACCUUUCUUUGGGCACAAACUUUUCUCCUUUUUUUUGUUUAGUUAGGGAUAAAAAAUAUAUUUUGAUUUCCUUUUAGGGCAUGUUUGGUUGCUUGAAAGUGAGUGAAGUGAAAAAAUUAACUUUUACAAAAGUAACUUUUUAGUUCGAUUGUUUGGUUGGCUAUAAAGUAAAAAAUUAAAACUAUAAUUUUGUAAUUUUGAUUAUUAAAUUAUAUAUAAAGAGGUGAAAAAUAUAAACAAACGACUUAUGUUCGCAAUGUAAAUUAAAAAUUUUAAUUUUAAUUUAUAUUUAUAAUUUAAAAUUAUAUUUUAAAAUAUAAAUUUAAAUUUAAAUCUGAAUUCGUAAUUUGAAAAAUUUAUAUGUAUUUAUCAAAAAACAAAAUAUUUAUUAUCUUAUAUUAUAUUGCAUAAAAAAGUAAAAUAAAAAUAUGUGAAUUUUUUCUAAAAUUGUUUGCACUAUAGAUCGGCAUUGAACGCGUGUCUAACUAGUGUACACAUCGGACACGUGUCCGACACAGACAUGCGCGUGUCCGAUACGGACACGCGAGAUUUAUAAAAGUGUCCGUCAUAUAUAGUUUGAAACAUGAAAUAUACCAAAUAAUUUGUUUAUCAAAGCCGUUAUAUGAUGAUCGAUAUGCUAACUCAACCAUUCUAUAUUUUUAUGCUUUGAAAAGUCUGAAAAAUCUAAAAGUCCUCUUAGCAUUCUCUUUAGGGUGCGUUUGGUUCGCAUUAUGAAAGAUUAUUAGGAAUAAAAAGAUAUCCGAGAAUUUUAUUCCUAUUCAUUCUAUUACUAAGAAUGUGGAAUUCCUGUAUUUGGUUCGCACGGUAAUAUUAAUUAACCAUGUUAUUUAAUAUUACAAAAAAUAUACAAUUAAUUAAUUAAUUUAUUUAUUUAAUUUUAGAUAAUGUUAUCAAAAGUUUCAACAUCUUUUUAGAAAAAAUGGAAAGAGAGUAUAAGUUAGAGAGAAAGAGCAUAAUUAAAAAAAUAGAAAGAAAAAUAUAGUCGAAAUUAGAGGGAGUGAGAGAGUUGAAAUUUUAGAAAGAGAGAGAGAGAGAAAGCUUAGUUUAGAGAGAGAAAAAAAAGUUUAGAGAGAGAUAUAAGGUUAGAGUGUAAAGAAAAAUAAUAUCAAUUAGCGGGUGGGUAAGAAGAAAAAAAUAGAUUAGACAUAUUAUGAUUACCCCAAUCUAUUAAUAUAAGGAUACCCACCUUCCCUCAAGAGAAUGAGAUUAGUACUUUGGGGUGAAUCUUAUUCCCAAGUAAAUCCAGUAUUACCAAUUAGAUUACUUAGUGCGUUUACCUAAAUUCCGUCAUAUUUUUUUAUUUUUAUUGGAUUAGUAGGAAUCUUUAAAAGAUAGCGCGAACCAAACGCACCCUUAAUGUUAUGAAGUUGCCAAAGACGACCGUCAUCGCAGAAACAUGCAACUACAUAUUCUAUUACUAGAAAUUCAGGACCGGUAAUAAAAAGAGGCACUUAAUUUCUACCACUCGAAGUUUUUUUUUUUCAAGUAAAAUUUUAUUACUAAAUUUGAACAGAGUGAGCUGGUUUUAUAUAUAGGGUUUACGUCAUAUACUACAGCAAAAUGACUUGUAAAAUUUCAGAACGAAUUGAAGUCCCUUAAUUCGUUUUGCUCUCGUUUAAUAUUCAUUGCACACAAAUGUAGAUCCCAAUUAAUUCUUCAUCAACUCGAGCUUGGUUCCUCCCUACUCCUACUCAAUUUAACAAAAAUAAAUAAAAUUAAUACUUCAUGUAGGUGGAGGAGAGGGAGAGAGUUCUCACUUCUUUUACUUUUCUUUCAGUUAAAAUAUAUAGAAAAAUUAAAAAACUUCAGAUAUCCCUUGUGGUUUAUCGAAUAUUCAAUUUAGUAUCUUGUGGUUUAUGAAAUUUUAUUUUAGUGUCAUGUAAUUUUACUUUUCUUAUUGAUUUAACGAAAAAAUUAACGGAGAGGAUAACGAAAAGAGCAAAAUGAAUCCACAAGGUACAAAAAUGAUACAAUUUAAACCACAAGACACUAAAGUGAGAAAACGCUGAACCGCAGGGAUGAUAUUUGAUGUUUUUCGUAUUUUGAAACUCAGUACUCCCAAACAAUCCCUCCAAGAGACUAACCCUCCAUUAAUAUCUUGGUCAGCUUUUGAGUAUCUAAAUACCAAAUUUUGUAUUGAUAUAGGGUUUAAUAAUUUCCUUUGCGGAAAAAAAAAAAAAAAAGAAACGAUUUUCACUAGGCUUGUUUACACUGGCACGAUACUUUAGUAUUAUUUUUAUUUAUUACAUUGUAUUGUCUUUUUUUUAAAAACAGAUACCAUUACAUUAUUUAUUUUAUUAAUUUUUACACUGUAAUUUAGGUUUAUUUUUAAUUUUCUAUUUUGUAUUAUUUUCUUUCCUCGUAGAUAUCACUAAACUAUUUUUUCUCUCCAAGAUUUAUAUUACCAUUAAGAAAUCUAUUAUUUUAGAUAAAAUCUAAUAACUUUAUUAGGAGAUGCUGAAUAAAUAGCAGACAAAAUAUAAAAUAAAUCUUCUUGGUAGACUUAUUAAAAAAAUUUAUCAAGUAAAUUUUCAUUGUCUUUUGUUAUUUUUAUAUAUUUUGUUAUUUUUCACAUCAAAAUGAAACAUUGAAAAUAUGCUCCAUCAUUUCUAACCUAUUUUUUAACAGUUUUUAUAUAAAAUUAUAAAUUUAUUGUAACAGUAUAAGAUAGAAUAAUUAAUUGAACUUAAAAAGUCCAUCACUUCUAUCAGCUAAUUUGGAAUCAUUUUACGAACUCUUAGAUUCGAUACAGUACUGUAAUACAAUUAAGAUGGAUGCAACAGACGAGUACCUUCGCGGAAUUUUGUCCCCUUAAUUUAAUAAUAAUAUCGAGCUCUUCCGUUCAAGUUGCCUCAAAUUUCUUUUCUUUCUCCGAGAAAACUUUGAUGAAUAUUAUUAUUUUUGUCAUAAAAUUAUUAUUUUCAAUACAGUUUUGGCUCCUUUUAACUUGAUAUCUAUCUAACUAUAUAUAAAAGCGUAUAGGAAUUCCGACAAUGACAGUUGGAAUCCAAAAAGAAAUAAAAUAAUAUUACCUACGAAUGGUUAUGAUUAAUUUAUUAAAAAUAUCUCAAAUCAAUAAGAACGGUUAUGAUCAGUCUAUUAAAUCUCUACUAUAUAAAAAUAUAUUCUCUACAAAUGCUUAUGAUCAAUUUAUUAAAAAAAAAUCUCAAAUAAAAACAGUUAUGAUCAAUUUAUUAAAAAAUAGCAUUUCUACCAUCUAUAAAUUUAAUCCUACGAGCGAUUAUAAUCAAUUUGUUAUAAAAUAUCUCAAAUAAAAACAAACUGUUACGAUCAAUUUGUAAAAAAAUAACAUUCCUAUUUAUCUAUUUUACAUUAAAAUUUGAGUUUAAAUUAUGAAUUAAAUUUAAUUUUUGAUAUCAAAUUUAAAUUAACAAUUAAUUUUUUUAUUACAGUGGAUCAAUCUUAAAUUUUUAAAUUUGAAAAUAAAUAUAAAUUAAAUUUUGAUGUAUUUAGUUUAAAACACAUAUUUAAAUUUAAUUCAUUAAAAAUCAAAAAGUAUAUAAAAAUGUUAGAUGUAUAUAAAAAAAAGAACAUGUAGGAUAUUGUAAAUACUUUCUAAUAAAAUAUAAUAUGUUAAUUUAUAAAUAUAGUUUUUAUUAUAAAAUUUUGGAUUUAUAUAAUGUACACAUUUAUAUUGGUUUGAAAUAUAUUAUAAUAAUUAAUUGUUACGUGCAUUUGCACGUACAUUCAACUAGUAUAGUUCAAAAGGAUGCAUGUGUCAAAAUUUGGUACGUAACAUAUAUAGAUGGUUAUCUACGCUUUCCUCCUUUUAAUAUUUUCUUGACUUUACUGACCGUCCCUGACGCAAGUGGCAAAGUAUUUAGUGGUUGGUAUUCAAAAUUCAAAGUUCGAACUCUAGUUGAUUCAUAAUUUCAGCCAAGUUUAUUUCUAAAUAAAACAAACAAAACGAAUACACAUUACUUUUCUCUAAUAUAUAUAUAUAGAGAGAGAGAGUCCGGCUGGGAUACUAUCGAUAGCACCAAUUUAUUGGUACUAUUAGUUUUUUAACCCUUAGAUUUAGCCCCUUGAUUAUUUUUAUCCGUUAGAUUAUACUAUUCAACUAACCACCUACUCAACUCUAGGGGAUCCACAUCAUUCUAGCCGCACAUUUCUCAAUCUAAGGAUUAAAAAACUAAUAGCACCAAUAUAUAUAUAUAUAUAUAUAUAUAUAGAGCUAGGCUGGUAUACUAUCGGUAGCACAGAGGUCUCCGUGCUACCAAGUUGUUUUCAAUGAUGCGGCUUCCAAAUCGAUGAUCGUCUCCGUUAGACUUGAUCUACACUAUUAAAAGUAUUUGGAAACCAAAUUUCAUAAUUUUUCGGCAUCAUUUACCUAUCAAACGAGUAGUCUAGAAAUCAACGGCUGAAAAUAAAAAUCUCAUAAAAAAUAAUGAUAAAAGACUUGAAUUUAAGAUCAGAGGUAUUGAUCUUACUUUAAAUAGUGAAAAAAAUUUUCUAUAAAAAUUUCAUCAGAUUUGGAUUGUUUUACACCGUUAAAUUCACAAACUCAUCACAUCUACCAUUAAAAUUGUCCAAUUUUGAGAUCUUGUAUCACAGCGAAAAUGAUGCCGAAAAAUUAUGAAAUUUAGUUUUCAAAAUACUUUAAUAGUAUAGAAUCAAGUCACGGACCGAUCGUCGAUUUGGAAGCCGCAUCAUUGAAAAAUCAACUUGGUAGCACGGAGGACCUUUUGUGCUACGAUUAUUCAACCAGGCCAUAAUCCUUAGCUAUUAUUCUAUAUAUAUAUAUUAUAUCAUAUAUAUAUAUGAGCUUAGAAUUAUUUUAGAAGUACCCUUUUGGUGCUUCUAAGUUUUUAAGGUCUUAAUCAAAACCGUCUUCCACCGUAGCACCACCUGAACCACUAUCAUUCCAACCCGAUACCAUUUCUUACUCCAAAGACUAAAAAACUCAAAAGCACUACCUCUUAGGUGCGUUCGGAAGCGUUUGAAAAAUUUUAGGCUACUUAAUAUAUAUAUUAUAUAUAAUAAUAUAAUAUAGGGUACUAUUAUAGAGAGAGAGAGAGAGAGAGAGAGCAGGGAGAGAGAGAGAGAGAGACUGGAGGGGACGACGACAAGCGGACAGAGGAGAAAGAGAUGAGGAGGAAGAGGGCGUCAGGAUUGGCGCGUUGAAGGAGUGGCGAGAUCGCGGGAGGGGAGGGAGCGUUCGGAGAGGCGGGGGGGAGGGGGGCAAAGAAGGGAAAACGGACAGAGGAGGGGGGAGGCGGAAGGGGGGGGCACAGGCAGAAGAGCUACAGCGAGGCGCAGAUGUGGGAGGGGACGGGAGAAGAUGAGGGAGAGAGAUGAGUGAGCGCUACUAUGCUAUCAGAAACACGGAGCCUUCCGUGCUUCCAGCUCGUUUCGAUGUUGCGACUUUCGAAUCGUCGAUCGGGCUGCCUUUAAACUUGAUCUAGAGUAUUUUAAGUACUAGAAAAUAAAUUUUAUGAUUUUACGAUAUCAUUUGCCUAGUGAACGAAGGGGGCUCAAAAUCAACGGCUGAAAUAAAAUCUUACAAAAUUAAUAAUAUGACAUUAAAAUUUUAAAUCAAAGAUAUUGAUCCUGUUUAUGUAGUAUAAAGAAUUUUCUAUCAAAAUUUCAGGUGAAUUAGAUUUUCUAUACGUUAAACUUGCAAACGGUCACUACGGCCAUUGAAAUUUGUUGAUUUGAGUCCCUUCGUUCACUAGCAAUGAUAUCGUAAAAUUAUUAAUUUAUUUUCUAGGGUACUCCAAAUACUCUAGAUCAAGUUUAACGGAGCCGAUCGACGAUUCGAAAGUCGCAACAUCGAAACGAGCUGGGGCCUUCUCCGUCUUCCGAUAGCAUCUUAGCUCACUCUAUAUAUAUUAUAUAUAUAUAUAUAUAUUUAAAGAGAGGAGGAGAGGGAGGAGCCAUUCUGUUAAACCGGCGGAAUCAGGGUGGCGGUCGAGAAGAGAGGAGAGAGAGAGACGAUGAUUAGGAUCUGGUAUGCUUCUGGAAGCACGGAGCGCUCCGUGCUUCCAAGUUGUUUUCGAUAUUCGGACUUUCGAAUCGACGAUCGACUCUGUUAGACUUGAUCUAGAAUAUUUGAAGUAUCAAGAAAAUAAAUUUUGUGAUUUUUCGAUAUCAUUUGCCUAGUAAUUGAAGUGGCUCAAAAUCAACGGCUAAAAAUAAAAAUCUUACAAAUUAUGAUGAUAUGACAUUAAAAUUUUAGAUCAAAGUUAUUGAUCUUGUUUUAUAUGGUAUAAAGAAUUUUCUAUCAAAAUUUCAUGUGAUGUGGAUAUUUCUACACCGUUAAACUUGCAAACGGUUCACCACGGCCAUUAAAAUUAUUGAUUUUGAGCCCCUUCGAUCACUAGGCAAAUGAUAUCGAAAAAUCGCAAAAUUUAUUUUCUAGGUACUUCAAAUACUCUAGAUCAAGUCUAACGGAGCCGAUCGUCGAUUCGAAAGUCCGAACAUCGAAAACAACUUGAAAGCAUGGAGGGCUCCGUGUUUCCAGAAGCAUACUAGCCCACUCUCUCUCUCUCUCUCUCUCUCUCUCUCUCUCUCUAUAUAUAUAUAUAGUACGUCUCCUGUACUUUCGAAAGUACGGAGGUCUUCAUGCUUGUAAGUUGUUUUCAAUGAUAGGACAUCCGAUUCGACGAUCGACUCCGUUAGACAUGAUCUAUGUUAUUGAAACUAUCUAGAAAUCAAAUUUCAUAAUUUUUCGACAUUAUUUACUACGUGAUCAAAAGGUUUCAAAAAUAACUAUUUUAACGGUUAAUGUGGUACGUUUUUAAGUUCAACGGUGUAAAACAAUCCAAUUACAUGAAGCUUUAAUGAAAAAUUCUGCUUAAUAUUAAUAGCAAGAUUAAUACUUCUGAUUUGAAAUUUGAGUCUUUUAUUACUAUUUUUUUUGAGAUUUUUAUUUUUAGCCGUUCAUUUUUAGGCUAUUUGUUUACUAGGCAAACGAAAUCAAAAAAUUAUGAAAUUUAGUUUCUAGAUAGUUCCAAUAGCGUAAAUCAUGUCUAACAGAAUCGAUCGCCGAAUCGAAUAUCUCAUCAUUACAAACAACUUAUAAGUACGGAGGCCUCAGUACUUUCGAAAGUAUAGGAGUCUCUCUCUCUCUCUCUCUCUCUCUCUCUCUCUCUCUCUCUCUCUCUCUCUCUCUCUCUAUAUAUAUAUAUAUAUAUAUAUAUAUAUAUAUAAUUGAGCUAGAAUACUUUUAGAAGCACCAACCCCGUGGUGUUUCUAAGUUUCUAGCCCUUGGAUCUACUCCUUAAUUACUAAUAGCCUUUGGAUCAAACACUAUUAAUUCCACCUACUACCACCUAUCACCAUCAUCUUAACCAUACAUCUCUCCAUUCAAUAGUUAAAAACUCAAAAGCAUCACCUUCAUGGUUGAUGCUUUUGAGAGUAUUCUAGCUCAACUAUAUAUAUAUAUAUAGAGAGAGAGAGAGAGAGUUGAGCUAGAAUACUAUCGAUAGCAAACGGACUUCGUUGCCACCAAUUUGUUUUCGAUGAUGGAGCUUCCAAAUUGACGAUCGGCACCGUUAAACAUGAUCUACACCACUUGAAGUGUUUUAGAAAUUAAAUUUUAUAUAUUUUCGAUAUUGUUUUCUUAUCCAUUGAGCGGACAUAAAAAUGAACAAGCUGAAAAUGAAUAUUCUUUAAGAAAUAAUGAUAGGAGUAUUGUAAUCAAGAUCAAGAGAAUAGAUCUUGUUUUAAAUAGUUAAAAAAAUUUUCUAACAAAAAUUUAAUUAAUUUGGAUAUCUUUACACUGUUAAACAAGAAAACGCUUCAUAUCGACCAUUAAAAUUAUAAAUUUUAAAACUCUUUGAUCAUUAGGCAAAUGAUGUCGAAAAGGUUUGAAAUUUGAUUUUCAAACACUUUAAGUGAUAUAAAUCAUAUUUAACAGUGCCGAUCGUCGAUUUGGAGACUCCAUCAUCGAAAAUAAAUGGGUGGCAACGGAGUUCGUUUAUUAUCGAUAGUAUUCUAGGUCAACUCUAUAUAUAUAUAUAUAUAUGUAUAUAUAUAUAUAUAUGUAUAUAUAUAUAUAUAUAUAUGUAUAUAUAUAUAUAUAUAUGUAUAUAUAUCUCUUUUCACGAUUUAUGUCAUACAGCAAUGCUAGGUUUAGAACCUAAAUGAGCAAUGCCAUUGCUUUGCUUAAUUUUCUCUAGCUUUGUAUUUGAAAAGAAAUGUUAACGCAUAUCCAAGACCUAUAUUUCGUUACUGGUUUUAUCAUUUUCUCUUUUUUCAUUAUUAUUAAACCCCUAAAAGAGUUUUUUAAAUUCUAAAGAAUAUAAUUACAACUCUAGAUUAAAGAUGUAAUACUACAACAUUUUUUUGGCUAUAAAUUAAGCAUUCUUUAUAGAGCAAUUAAUAUUAUCUGUACACUCCUACAUAUAUUAAUCCAAAGGCCAAUCUUUUUUUUUUUUUUCAAUAUUAAAACCUAAAUGUAUUUUCGUAAAUUCUAGAAUGCAUUGAAAAAAAGAUUUAUAACAGUUUGUACACUACAAAAAAAGUAAAAUUUAAGAAUAUUUUUUUAAUAUUUAAUAAUGUUUAAAAGCAUCCUAAUAUAAUCUAGUAUCAAAUUUGAUAGUGUCGAUCAAAGCAUCGGCAAAUAAAGAGUCGUCACAUAUAUAUCGAUGUUUAUGCCAAGCAUCGGUAAAAUAUACUUUGAUAUUUUAAAGCGGCAUAACUUUUUAAAAUCCUAACAUUUUAAAACAUGAAAAAAUUAAAAAUAAUAAUAAAAUUUUUUAUUUAAUAAAUAAUUAGUUUGAUACUGUAGAAAAUUUAUACGACGUUGUUCUUUGAAACAUCGCUAUUUACUAUAUUGUAGAAAAGUAUCUUAGCUAAAAAAACGUUCUUAUAUUGGAAUUUUUUUACAUAUAGAAUUUUCGGUUCCCGCAUUUGAAUAUUGGUGUCAUAUGAUGUAUAACCCAUUUGAAUACUGCGUUCUAAAGCACUUUAAAUGAUCCAUAAAUUUGCUAAACUGAUUAAGCUUCCAAUACAAGACAACCAAUAAUGGAAUCCCUUCUCUCUCCUGUGUGUCUUCUCCUCUUCUGUGUCGGUCUCUUCUUCUUUAUCAGAGUAGCUACAGAAUGGUUUGCCGGAUCCAAAGCCCGCGGCACGGCCCCCUCAUGCUCCUACGCCUCGGCCAGGUCGACGUCGCGGUCGCGUCCUCCCGCGAGGCCGCCGAGGAUGUAUUGAAGACCCACGACCUCAACUUCGCGUUUCGCCCCAUGCUCGCCGUCUCCAUGCUCUUCGAGCACGGCUUCGGCUUCUCCCCCUACGACAGCCACUAUAAGCACCUCCGCAAGGUCGCCGCUGUCGAGCUCUUCAGCAUCCGGCGUGUCCGGUCCUUCACCGCCGUCCGCGAAGAGCAGGUCCGCAACAUGAUCAACAACAUCAAAACGGCGGCACUUUCGCGAGCGCCGGUAAAACUAAGAGAGGAGCUCAUGUUGCUGUCGAACUCGAUCGUGUCCGUGGCAGCGGUCGGGAGGAGAUGCCGACAUGAGGGGAAGCUAGUGAAGCUCGCGAAGGAGACGGCGAGGCUGAUGUCGGGGUUCGCGAUUGCCGACCUGUUCCCGUCGCUUAAAUUCGUGGACGUGCUCACGGGGAUGAGGUCUAAGCUCGAGGGGGUGCGAAGAGAGCUCCAAGAGAUAUUGGAUAAGAUCAUAAGAGAUAAGGAGAUGUGCAAAGGCAAUGGAGGAGACGAGGACGCAACCAAGCAGGAGGAGGAUAUACUUGAUGUGCUCCUAAGGCUUAAGGAUGAUAACAACCAAGAGUUUCCAAUCACACUCAGUAACGUGAAAGUUGUGAUCCUGGUAAGUAAUUUGGUAUCUAAGAAGGUUAAUUAGGCCGAAUUUUAUUUAAGCGAGCCAAUCAUUUACUUCUAGGAUUGUAUUACACACACACACACAUAUGAAUUGAGCGCCUAUUCUUUUAAAAGCACCAAAUCAUUAGUGCUCGCAGAUUUUCGGUCUUCAGAUGAAAAUUUAUAGUAUUGAAAUAAUAGUAGUUUUCUUGAGUUUAGUGGAUGAUUAAUAAUAUGUAUAUGAAAGCUUAGUCAUGUGAGCCACAUGGAAGAGAGGGGCGGAGGCGCCGGCGCCGGCGUGAGGUUGCAGGUAUAUGGGGCCCAGCUGAAUUUGGGCCUAUUUUUUUUAUUAUUUUAUUUUAUUUUAUUUUCCUCUUUAUCAAUUUAGAGACGAACAAAACCGAUGCAUAUAAGAAUUUUUCUUAUUUUUCAAUCAAUUUUACCAAGGUAAAGAUAUCUUCGCUUUUUCGACAAUUUGAAAUAAGUUUUCCUAACUUUUUAGUUAAAAAUGUUGUUUAUAGAACAUUUUUCAAAACUAUUAAAUUUGAGUAAUUUUUACAUAAAGUUGUUAGAAUAAUGUAACUAUUCAAAAAUUAAGAAUAUAUUAAUAAAAAAGUUAUUUUUGGUAAUAUACAUAACACUAUUUUAUAAUAUUUUUAUUCAGUUAUAAUUUUUUAAGCUUAAAAUUUUAAUAAUUAUAUAUUUUAAUUGAUUGAAAUACUAUCUAUCAGCUGUGAAGUCCGGGCCCUGCACUAGUAAAAUAUACUUUGAUGAAUAUUGUUUUGGUGGAAAGACGAUAGAUAUAGCUAGUAUUGAAUUACGCUAUUCGAUCAUAUACAUUAUUUUUUUUUCGCUUUACCAAAAACUAAUGCAGGAACUCUUCAUCGCUGGUACCGAAACCUCAGCAACGAUUAUCGAGUGGGCCAUGUCGGAACUCAUACGAAACCCUAAGAUCAUGGAGAAAGCGCAAAGCGAAAUAAGAGAAGCUCUGAAGGGAAAACCUAAUGUGGAGGAAGCUGAUCUUGGACAACUCAGCUACCUGAGACUAGUCAUCAAGGAGGCUUUCAGGCUUCACCCACCAGGGUCACUUCUCCUGCCAAGAGUUGCAAAGGAGACAUGUCAGGUUAUGUAAAGAAACCAAUCUCUCCAAAAGCUUCGAAUAAUGCUAAGGAAAUGUUGUUCUAAUAUUUUAAUGUUUUACUUUUCUCUUAUUUGAGUGUAACAAGUUUCCAAGAUCUAGGUCUAAUACAUGAAUUUUGCGCGCAGAGUGAACCAAAGAUGAACAUGAGUCUAGCGGGAUUUGAUGUAGGAAUCAAAAAAUAUAUAUAUAUAUAUAUAGAAUUAGGCUGGAAUACUAUUAAUAGUAAAACGCUCUUUUUGCUAUCAAGUUUUUAACCCUUGGAUGAAAAAUUGUAGGAUCAAAAUAAUAUUAGUUGGCUAGAGUUGAGUGGUCCCCCUAGGUUUGAUUGGUCUCCACUGGGUUAUAGUAUUUAAUCCAAUAGUUAAAAAUAAUGAAAAGAGUUGAUCCAAAGGCUAAAAAAUUAGUAGCAACAAUGAGAUUUUGCUACUAAUAGUAGCCCAGUCCAACUAUAUAUAUAUAUAUAUANUAUAUAUAUAUAUAUAUAUAUAUAUAUAUACUCAGUUGCCAUUUGUUGGAAUUGAUAUUUGCUUAGAAUUUAAAGAUACUAAAACAGAAUAAUAUAGAGAAAACAUAUUAGAGGAGGUAACUGGAUUAUAGAUAAGGCAAACAAAUCAAAUUAGUUCGGUACGUACUAAAACUUUAGUAAUUAACUACGAUCAAGGUACUCAAAUUUGAUUUUAUGUUUAGAUCGAACUAGAACCUCUUAGAGUGAUAUUAUACAUACAAAAGGAUUUUACAAUGUUUUGCCGACUUGCUUAUGUGGCCAUACAUAAUUGGUAAAAAAAAGUAUCAAUCGUGCACGGGGUGAUUGCUAGCUGUAAUUUAUAAGGCAAAGAAUUAAUAAAAAUCUAAAAUUUUGAAUUUUAUAUAUUGUUGUAGAAGUUGUUCAUAAGAAUAAUAUUUUUCCAACCUUUUAAUGCUCUACUAGUAAUAUCUCCAAUGAAAUAACGUAUGUAUCGAUGUUUGUUGUGUAUAUGGCUACUUUAAAACCUGAAGCUGUUAGAGAAUACCAUAUGUAUCGAUGUUUGUUGUAUAUAUAGCUACUUUAAAAUCUGAAGCCGUUAGAGAAUAACGUAUGUAUCGAUAUUUGUUGUGUAUAUGGCUACUUUAAAAUCUGAAGCCGUUAGAGAAUAACGUAUGUAUUGAUGCUUGAUGUAUAUGUGGCUACUUUAAAAUCUGAAGCUGAAGGGGUGGAAUAACCCCUUAACCCCCAUAUUAUCCCCAAACACCCGAAAAAAUGGAUGGGGUUAGCUAACCCCGCCUCAAAUAAAUUAUUCCGGGUUAGCUAACCCCACCUAACCCCACCAAACUCCAACCAAACACUAUUUUCUAUUCAUAAUAAUUCACUAUCUUUCUUAUCACACCUACUCCAACCAAUCAUUGUCCUUCUUUAUCAAUCAUUAUCUUCUUAUCCCACCUACUCCAACCAAAUACUAUUUUUUAUUAUUCUAGACUAACUCCAACCCCUAACCAAACACAAAAAAACUUUAACCCCACUUUAACCCUGAACUUAACUCUAUCCCUGGAAUAGCUAUUUUUUUCUUAACCCCGAACCAAACGGAGGCUUAGAGAAUAACGUAUAUAAGGUUAUACAUGGAUGUUUGUUGUAUAUAUGGCAGGUCAUAGGGUAUACAAUACCAGCAGGCACUCGCAUGCUGAUCAAUGCAUGGGCACUGGGAAGAGACCCCCAGUACUGGGCCGAGGCCGAGAGGUUCAAGCCGGAGAGGUUCGAAGACAGCAGUGUGGACUUGAAGGGGAUGAACUUCGAGUUCCUGCCGUUCGGCAGCGGGAGGAGGAUGUGCCCCGGAAUGGCGUUCGGACUGGCUAAUGUAGAGCUCGCGCUCGCACAGCUGCUGUUUCACUUGGACUGGUCGCUUCCGGGGGGUAUGAAACCUCAGGAUCUUGAUAUGACUGAAGCUUUUGGGGCCGCAACGAGCAGAAAAUCGGAGCUCGUCUUGCUUGCAACUCCUCAUUUCCCAGCUAAUAUAUGCUAGCUGAUUAAUAUUACUAUAUGCGCAGAUUACGCAGACUUUUGAUAUAACUAUAUGUUGAAGUUCCUAUACGUACGUACCUACGUAAUAUAUAUAUGGUGAUGAUGAAUAAUUAAUGCUAUAUUAUGUACACUGAGAAACAGUUAAUUAGCAUGCUGGUGAUCAGUUGGUUAGACUAAAAACUCUCGUCUCGAUGCUAAUUUUGAUCGGAAUCUGAUUUUGGAUCUGUUUAUUCGUCUAUAAUUAAUUUCAGAUUAAAAAUGACUCUUAAAAAAAAAAAUAAUAAUAAACUACCCACUUUAUUCAUUAAAAAAAUGAAUUAGGCUAAAGGGAUGAGGCCACAGUAAACCUCGAACAAAACAGAUGACUAAAAAAAAAAAAAAAAAAAAAAAAAAUCAACAUUGCUAUUUGUGGGCAGCUAUUCUUAUUUCAACGAGAGAAUUUGUUGACAGCUAGUAAAUUAAAAAUUAAAAAUACCAUGUGGUUUUAUGAACGGUAAACUUCAAAUGCCAUCCAUGUGGCUUCGUACUUCUCACUUUAGUAUCCUGUGGAUUUUUUUUUUUUUUUUUUUUUUUUUUGGUCAGCCCCUCCGUUAACUUUUUGUUAAAUUAUAUAGAAAACUUCAGAUAUUCCACUUAUAGUUUAUCGAAUAUUAACUUUAGUACUCUUUUAGUUUUAAUUUUGUCACUGAUUUAACGAAAAAAAUUAGUGGAUGGAUAACAAAAAGAGAAAAAUAAAAUCAUAGAGUACGAAAGUGAUACAUUUUAAACCACAGAAUACUAAAGUGAGAAAGUACGAAACAUCAUACUAAAAUGAGAAAGUACGAAACUACAUGAAUGGUAUUUGAAGUUUUCCCUCUUAUAAAUUUAUAAAUGGAAGAUGUUCAAUGCAAAUAGUGGAGUAGGAAAAAUUGGGGUUUGAAUAAUAAAUUUUUCUCUCUUCCUUGACUAUGACUGUUGACUUGUCUCAUCUAAGACUUGUAUGCCCUGCCCUGCGAAUGCGAUAGCCGAAGAUGCAAUAGAAUUUUCUUUUCUGUUAAAUUAAAAAAAUAUUAAAGUUUAGAUUAAAACUAGUUUUAAUUUGCACAACUAUUUGUUCGAUAGGAAGUAACGGUUUUGAAACUAUAGCUAUUUGUUCAAUUAAAAAUGAAUUUCAAUUAGAUUAAAGUUUAGAUAAAACUAGUUUUGCACCACUAUUUGUUCAAUAAGAAAUAACGGUUUUCAAACUAGAGCUACUACAUUUUUUGUGGUUUAUUUUGCUGAAAUUUUUCACACCGACACAUAAAAAGGGUCAAAAAAAAAAAAAGAAGAAAAAAGGUUACAGUGGGUAAUUUUUUAUUAUUCUCCUGUAUCUUUUUCUCUCCUAUAACUGGCUUCCUCCCUAUUCGGGAUGAAGCCAAUUAUGGGAUUUUGAAAAAUUAGAGUUGUGAGCGAAUUUAAUUUACGAAAAACGAACAUAUUAAGUAUAGGGAUGCAAAUGGGUAUAGGUGGGCUGUAUAUUCGAUCAUUUGAAUCAGGAAAUAUGUGACAAUAAUUUGAUUAUCGAAGUCGUAAUAUGAUCCAUGAUCGAUCGCUAUCUCAACCAUUUCAUGCUUUGAAAGGCCUAAUAAAUUUAAAAGUGCUCAUAUAUAGUAUUCCCCCCGGAAAAACAUGAAACUACAAUAUUUUAUCAUAGAAGUUUUUUUUUUUUUUUUUUUUUUGAGAGAGAUAGGUGUGCUUCGUUUAUUUCAUUUAGAAAUAAACUUAACUGAAAAUGUGAAUCAACUAGGAUUCGAAGUUGGGAUCUUGGAUACCAACCACUAAACCCUUUGCCACUUGCUUUAGAAACGGUUGGUUAUAAAAGUUUUUCGUUUGUUUUUCUCAGAACCUGCAAUCUGCAAAUCUGCAAGAAAAAUAAACAUUUUCUAUCACCAGAUUUUUUUUUUUUCCUUUUCUUUUCUAUUUUGCUGAGUGAACUGGUUUUAUAGAGUUUACAUAAUAUAUUACAGCAAAAUGACUUAAAUGAGUUUUCAAAACGAAUUGAAGUUCAUUAAUUCGUGUUUCUCUCUUUUAAUAUUCAAUGGCAUGGCGAAUAUAGAUUGGAACUAAUUCUCCAUCAACUUGAACUGUGUUUCUCCCUACUCCUACUCGAUUUAACAAAGAAUAAAAAAAAAUUAAUACUUCAUGCAUUUCAAAAUGUGUAUGAAAAUAUUGUAAUAAGUCAGCUUUGUAUCAUAAAAGUUAAAUCCGUCAUUUAAUUUUUUUCAGAAUUGAAGUCGAAUGAAAUAUGUUAAAAUCGAAACGGCGAAAAAUAGAUCCAGAAAAUAAUUUAAUGCAAGAAAUAAAAAGAAAAGAGGAAAGAACACACCGAUAUUUAUAUGGUUCGGCCAACGGCCUACGUCCACGGACGAAGACGGAGCAAAUACUUUAUUAAUGUCGAAAAGGCGGAGUACAAAAAAGAUCUCUCAAAAAAGACCAAAGCUUAAUUAGAUCCGAAAACGCCGCAACAAGCAACUCUGGAAAGAAGGACUUCUCUUAACCAGUACGGACUCCAAAGUGGCGUUAAUUAGAGUUGCCGCGGAUCCUCACCGUACGGUACAUGAAUAGCUUGCUUUAAUUAAUUAGACUUGUGUCUAAUUAACAUUGCGGCAUCAUUAGAGCUUGCCUCUAAUUAAAGCACGGACCACACCACCAACAACUGAAUUAAUUUUGCAUGACUCUUAAUUGGGUCGCGGCAUCAUUAACUUGGCAGUAGCAUGUAUAUAUAAUACAUGUCUCUUAAUUAGAGUCUAAUUCUAAUUCAAUUAGAAUUAUACUCCUAAUUAUAAUCCAUAUAUGCCAAAUUAAAUCUAAAUAUAUAUAAUUCCAAUUAAAUUAGGAUUUAACUUCAAUUUAGAUAACUACAAAUCUAAACCAAAUAUAACAAAAUAUGUGUCAUAUUCGAACGAAAUUUAAAAUUCUAAAACAAGAAGUUGUCUUGUGUAUUUUAUUGACUAUUUAUUAUUAUCUGUAUAAAUUUUACACCAAAAAUCUUAUUUUUUUGUGCAGGUAAAUGUGCGUGGGCAAAACAAAUUAAACUUAUUCUGAAGUACAGAAAAGAAAAUUCUAUAGAAUCUUCGGCUAUGGCAGGGCACAGAAGUCUUAGAUGAGACUAGUCAACAGUCAUAGUCAAAAAAAAAGAAAAAUUUAUUAUUCAAACCCCAAUUUUUCCAUUUCUACUAUUUGCAUUGAACAUCUACCAUUUAUAAAUUUAUAAAAAAAAAAACUUCAAAUAUCACACCUAUAGUUUCAUACUUUCUCAUUUUAAUAUUAUUUGGUUUAAACUUUAUCACUUUCGUACCCUAUAAUUUUAUUUUAUUUUUUUUGUUAUUCUCUAUACUAAUUUUUUUAUUAAAUCGGUGACAAAGUUAAAACUAAAAGAGUGGAGUAUCUGAAGUUUUGUAUAUGAUUCAACGAAAAGUUAAUAGAGGGGCUGACGAAAAAAUAAAAUAAACUUACAGAAUACCAAAGUGAGAAAGUGCGAAACUAUAAGAGUGAUAUUUGAAGUUUAUCCUUUAUAAAACAAAAGUAGAGGGAUCAAACUUUGAAUUCCAAAGCUUACUCAGGCAUGUCACCAUCUAUAAGGUUUGUCUAUGCUAAAUUAUACAUAUAGUCCAAAGAAUUGGAAUUAAUUUUUGAGUGCUUCAUGAUGCAUAUAAUAAGCAUAGUAAACUAAUAAGCAUGGACUAGAUUUGUUUGACAAGUAUUAAUAGCAGAACAUUCAAUAUUAUCACUACUUAAAGCAGUUAGUUGGUAUCCUACUCUUUAAGUUAUAAGUCUCAAAUUCGAAAUACUACUUGUACAUGCAUCACAUAAAAUUUUGUACAUCUUAUAAUAUUUCCUUCUAGAAUUCAGACUAUUUUUUAAAGUUUUUCGUAUUUAAAAAAAAAUAGAAAGUGAUAAGAUUCGCAUGAAAAUAUUAGUCUUUGAAUGAUAAUAAUGUAACACAACAUAAAUGUACAAACAACAUUGCUUGUUCGAAAUUAUUACCAUUUAAACUUUGAAAAGAUACAAAACCAUCUGAAAUAUUAUGACAAUAAAACACCUAUAUGUGGAGGUUAUAUGUGUCUGAUCUCAUUUUCAAAGUUUGGGUGAUAAUAUCAAAUUGCGCUAAAGUAAUCAUGUUAUAUUUUCAUUCUUUAUUUUUUUUUUCUUUAGUCACUUUAUAGCUUAUGGUAUAAUUUUUUUUUAAAAUUUCUUGCUAAUUAAAUAUGGGAUCUGUUACAUAAUUUAUUAUGUAAAAGUUAUGUAAAUUGCUUACUUAGAUGAUUUAAUUCGCUUAAGCUUAGUUUGGUAUUGAGGUCUAGUUAACGCUAUUAGAUAAAAUGGAGUUGAGGAAAAAGCAUAUAGGAAUAUGCUUCUGCGUUCUCCGGUGGAACCAUAGAAAAUAUAUUGUAAUCGACUCAUGUGACACCCCAAUAGUCCCACAUCGGAUGGGAAAGGGGUUGUCAUUGGGUUUAUAAGAGACUUAGACACUAGUAAUAAUAACUGGGCUUAAGCAUUUUGGGCUGGUGGUUGGGCCCAACGAGUUAUUGUUGCUAGUGGGCUGGGUCGUUACAACUCAUCGCAAUAUGUGGAACUCAAUAUUACAUACGAAAACAAACAGGGUAUUUUUUCAAUGUACUUUCUCACCGCACAGUUAGAGGCAAAAAUGUUAUUUAAAAAUUACUCAUCCGUGAUCCGUCUAAUUCAGAUGGAUGGCAAUCAAUAGGGGCACUUACCCGACUAAGGUUUCGUUUGGGAUUGAGGGGAGAUUACGUUACAUGCAGUUAGAAAUGAUGAUGGAAAAAUACCCACCGUACGUAAUAUUGCGUUCCGCAUAUUGCGGUUAGUCGGUUACGAUAUAUUUUCUGACAUCCCAUCGGAGAACGCAGAAGCGUAUCCCUAUAUACUUUUUCUCAACUCCAUUCUAUCUAAUAGCGUUAUAUCCAUCUCAAUAUCAAACUAAGCUUAAGGAUGCUCAAGGCCCGGCUUAUUUGGUUCCCUAGAAAAUAUUUUAAAAUUUCUUUUUCUUGCUGAAAAAAUAUUUUUGGUAUGUUUAGUUUCCAGAAAAAAUAUUUUUUUUACAAAAUUAUUUUUCAUAUUUUAUGAAAAUUUUCUUUUCAUUUUCAAUUUUAAAAAAAUGAAAAAUUUUCUCUCAAGAAUAUUUUCGACAAGUAAAAAAAGAAAUAUCACUUUUCUAAUAUAGUGGUGUAUAUUACCACCCAACCCGUCAUUUUCAUCAUCUUCUACUGUUAUCUCUAUCUCCCCAAAUUAUAUAUAUAUAUAUAACCAUCUACAUCUUUUAUCCAUCAUCUCCACCACAGUCAAAUUAUUCUAUCUACACCAAAAUAUAAUUAAAUUUUUUAAAAAAUAUAAUUAAAAUUUAUUUUUAUUUAAUUAUUUAUUAUUUAUAUUUAUAUUGUAAAGAGUUUGUGAGUAUUAUGUUAAAUUUUAAAAGAUUGGUAAUCUCACAUUUUUUUUGUAGAAAAUAUUUAUACAUCAAAAUUUUCAACAAACCAUAAUAGAAAGAAAAUUUUAUUUUUUAUUUUAUUGUUACCAACCAAACACACAUAUAUGAAAAAAUAUUUUUCUUUUUCGUUAAACCAAAUAGUAGAAACUAGAAAAUUUAUUUUUCAUAAAAAAUUGUUUUCUUCGUAAAAUAAUUUUCUACUAUAUUUCAAGGAACCAAAUAGGCUCUUAUGUGGGCACAAUGACAAUUUAAAUUAUGGAGGUUUCGGGGAGUAGACCAACAUUCUACUUAAGUGGAGGAGGAGAUUAGCCUGGGCCGAGUCAUAAGCAAGACUCGUGAGUGCUGUAUUUGUAUAUUUUAAGUGAAUUAAUUAUUUUCUUUCUAAUAAAUCAAUUUUUUAGAAUUAUAGUUAGCACUAAUUUUCCAACUAGUAAGUAGUAGGCCAGAAUCCUGUCUAGAUGGCGGAGGCCAAAAUGAGCUUUUGGAAUUAUGAUUAGUACCAAUAAUCCUACAAGAGGGGCAUUGUUGAAAUAAGAACUUUGAAAAUAACAAAUAUAAAAUUAUUCCUUAAGGAAUAAAUGGAUACAAAGAAAUAUAAUAAAUAUGAAAUUAUCAAUUCCUUUAUUAAAAGAAUGGAUACAAAGAAUGACUUUUAUAUGGGGAAAAAUAAUUUAUAAGAAGAAAAUUGUCACCAAACACCAUCUAAUGAGCAAAUUUCUCACCACGCUAUCUUGUACUUGGCCAAAUUUCUACAUUGAAUACUGGGCAUGCACUGGCCCAAUUAAGCUACACUCCAAAACUCACUACUAUAUAAUGUGUGUUUAGACUAAGAGAGCUCUCCAUUCCCAAAAUAGCGUGGUUUAAAUUUUACUUGCAUAGAAAGAGAUUCGGCGAGAGAUAUGACUAAGUUAAGGUAAUGCAUUUCAUCUGCUUAGUUAGGCAAUUUUAAUUCGUUCUUAAUUUCAAAACAGAUUGAUAUAUGCAAGUAUUUUUUUAAGUGAUGGACAAUGAGUGAGAAAAUGAUGUUAGGUUGGAAGGCAAGGUGGCGGUUAUCACCGGCGCGGCCGGCGGGAUAGGCGAGGCCGUGGCGGCCUCCAUCGGCGCCGACCGGUGCAAGUACUACCGGUGCGACGUGCCCGACGAGCAGCAGGUGUCCGACCUCGUCGACUUCGCCGUCGCCACCUUCGGCGGCCUCGACGUCAUGUACAGCAACGCGGGCAUCAUGGGCCGGCCGGCCAGCCUGCUCCAGAUGAGCCUGGAGGACUUCGACAACGUCGUCGCCGUCAACGCGCGCGGCUGCGUCGCGGCGGUCAAGCACGCGGGGCGCGCCAUGGCGGCGGCCGGCACGCGGGGGUCGAUCAUCUGCACGGCCAGCCUGGCGGCGACGGUCGGCGGGAUGGGCCCGCACGCGUACACGGUGUCGAAGCACGCCGUGCUCGGCCUGGUCCGGUCGGCGGCCGGGGAGCUCGGGCAGCUGGGGAUACGGGUGAACUGCGUGUCGCCCGCGGGGGUGGCGACGCCGCUGGCGCUGGGGUUCACCGGGAUGACGGUGGCCCAGGCGGAGGCGGUGUGCGAGGCGAUGUCGGCGCUCAAGGGGGCCGCAAUGAAGGCCGGGGACGUCGCGGCGGCCGCGCUGUUCCUGGCGUCCGACGAGGCGGCGUUCGUCAGCGGGCAUAAUCUCGUGGUCGACGGCGCGACGACGGCGCUCGGACCGAAGCCGCCGGGGGUUAACAUGCAGUGAAAUUUAAAUCUUCGGGGCGAUUUAUUGCCUUUUCUCCAUGCAUGUUGAAGGAUGCAAUAUGUACUACUGCAUCUCAAAUUUAUGUAAUGAAAUUUCUGAAUUCAACCUUUUGCAUUAAUGGAAUAAUUUAAUAAAAUUAUGAAACAAAAGCUGUUUUUGUGUUAACACUGUUGGAUAAGUAAUCUGCCGAUUCUUUUAGUAUAAACAAAUCUUUUUUAUAAAAUAUAUAAAAAAUUCUUGAAUUGCAAAGUUUAACCAAAUAUAUAAUAAGGAAUUAAUAAUCAAAUAUUAUAAUGAAGAAAAAGUAUAGAUGAGGCCCGAAAGCGAAGGUGCAAGAUUGCCUCUACACAUGCAAGGCUCCAAGUAACAUAAACAACUAAAAAAAGAAAAAUUUUAUAUAAAACAUUGAUAAAAGACUUAAAUGUCAAAUUGAAAGUAUUGAUUUUACUUUUGAUGGUAAGUAAAAUUAUAUAUUAAAAUUUCAUCUAAUUUGUAUCAUUUUAUACCGUUGAACUUACAAACAUAUUAAUUAAAGAGUCCUAACUAUUAAUUAAAACGGAUAAAAAUGUCAAUUCACUUUAUUAACUAACUAGGAUUAAGUAUUUUACCAAUAAUUAACUAAUUUUUUCUAAUGGAUCAUAACGGUAGGAAUAUAUUUGAAAACAUUAUGACUCUUGAAAGGACAACAUAUGAAAGUUGAACUUUGUAGGAAUAUAUUUGUAAUUCACUAUAUUUGUAGGGACCUGUAUAAAAUUAAUCCUAUAUUUUAACUCCUUAUUUAGUGUAUAUUUUGUUAUUUUAUACCUUACGGUAUAUUUUUAAAAAAAUUUCUAAGUUGUGUGGUCAAUUACAUUAUUUUUAAAUUAUUAUCUUAUAAAAGUGUGUAACUGCUUACUUAGAUGACUUAAUUUGCAUAUAAAAAUGGUAUUUAAAACCUCAUUUUCAACGGAUGGAUAGUAACCAAUGGAGGUCAUUCACGAUUACCUUUGAUGCUGAUGCGGGCAAAAUUAUAUUUUAAUUUUCGGAGGUGUUGGCAAGUAGACGAAUAUUCUGCUGACACUGAGGAGGCCAGAGUAGUCCUAAGUUAACUCACAUACAAAUUUUGAAAAAUUAAUUGCAUAUUGGUCUCUAAGCUUUCCGCUAAUUUUAUUUGGUCCCUAAUAUUUUUUUUUACAAUCAAAAUUUUAAAUCUCUUGAUUUAAUCUUUAUUAUUAUUAUAUAAAGAUAAAUUGUGAACUCUAAAUAUGGCCUCUUCUUAUUUUGAGAGCUGUGGGAUCACAAUAAUUUUUUUAAGAAUUAAUCGCACAUUAAUCUCAAGCUUUUCACUGUUUUUUUUUUUGUCCUUAAUCUUUCUUUUGCAAUCAAAUUUUUAAAUCUCUUAAUUUCAUCGCAAUAAAAAUGAACCUAAAAUUAAUUGCACAUUGGUCCCUAAACUUUUCGUUAUUUUUAUUUUGGUCUCUUAUCUUUUUCUUUACAAUUAAAUUUUCAAAUAUCUUGAUUUAAUUUUUAUUAUUAUUAUAUGAAGAUGAAUUGUGAAUCCUAAAGAAGGCCUCCCCUUAUUUUGGGAGGCUGUGGGGUCCACAGCAAUUUUUUAAAAAAUUAUUAGCACAUUGGUCCCAAGCUUUUCAUUAUCUUUUUUUGUCCUUAAUCUUUUUUUGCAAUUAAAAAUGGCACUGUUAAAAAAGAUUUUAAAUUUUAAUGAUAUUAUCAGACCAUCGCCUAUUUAGCUAUUUUUUGCGUGUCAAUUUUAAUCUCUAAAUUUUACUUUUCACUUUAAUACCAAAAAUAAAAAUUCAAAAUUUAUUUUAAAAUUAAUUCGAAAAUUUAUGAAUAGAAAAAAAUCUAUACUAAUAAAAAUAGAAUAGUUGAACUAUAUAUUAUAAUAAUACUUUUUCAUCGCAUCGCGUGGGCCCUUAACUAGUGGUUUCCAACACGGAGAAGAAAAAUCAAAGAAGAAAAUUGUCAUAAGUUGCCAUCUAAUGAGCGAAUUUCUUUUACUUUAUAGUACUUGAAUGAGCGAAUUUCUUUUAUCUUAGGCCCGUUUGGUUCGGGGGAUAAGCGGGGAUAACGAAAGUUAUCCCCGCUAUUCCGCCAAACGGGAAGAAAUUUAGCCAGAAUAUUUUAUUCCGGUCAAACUUUACUAUUCUUGGUUAUCCCGGGAUAGCAAAAGAUUUGCUAUUCCACUAUUUUGGUGGAAUAGUGCUAUUCCAAUUCUUAAUUUCAAACUUAAUUAAAAUUAUAAAUUGAAUUAAAACUAAAUUAUAUAAAUAUAAUAUGUUAUAUAUUAUAAUACAUUAUUUUUAUUAUAAAAUUAUUAAUUGUAUUAUAUUAAUACAUAUUAUUUAUAUUUAAAUAUUAUAAUAAAAUUUAUAAUAAAUUAUAUUUAAAUAUUAUAAUAAAUUUUUUUUAUUAAAUUUAAGUUUAAGUAGAAUUUUUAAAAAAUUUAUAAAUUUAUUAUAAUAAAUUAUUUUUAUUAAUNAAAUUUAAAGUUUGAAAUUUAAAAUUUAAAUUUUGAACUUAAAAUUUGAUAUUUUAAAUUUUAAAUUUUGAAAUUUCAAAGUUAAAAUUUUAAAUUAAAAAAUAUAAAUUUAAAAAUUUAAAAAUUCAAAUCAAAUAUAAUAAGUGGAUAAUAUCAUUAUUUUUUAUUUAUAAAAAUUUAUUAUCUUUUUUAUUCCAUCUUGUCUAACCAAACGCUAUUUUUUUUAUUCCCAGGAAAAAUCUAAUUUUUAUCGAAACGCAAAAUUGAUCUAAUCCCUGCUUAUAUCUCAAUUUAUAUCUAUCACUGAAAUAAUCAUUUUUUGCUUAUUCCCGAACCAAACGACAUCUUAUAGUACUUGAAUGCUCGCUACUAUAUAAUGACUGUGAGACUAAGAGAGCUCUCCAUUCACAAACUAGUGUGUUUUCAAGAGAGAGAGAGAGAGAGAGAGAGAGAGAGAGAUCCCCCGAGAGAUAUGGCAAAGUUGAGGUGAUGUAUUUCAUUUGCUUAUGCCUUUUUUUAGUUUGUUUCUUAAAGCUAAUAUAUGGCGUGUUUGAUUCGGCUAGAGCUUCUAAAAAACGUGAUUAGUACUGUGUAGAGGAGAGUUGUUCGAGAAAAUAUUUAAUUUCUUUCUAUUAUUUUUUUUUAAUUGAGAAUAUGUGCGACAGCAGAAGCGCGGGUUUUAAUUUGAAGCUUCCAUUUUGGCUCAGAAAUUUGUAGUAAAAACUCAGUAAUUUUUUGGUUGUGGUGGAACUUAAUUGUUUCAAUCACGUUACUCUGGCCAUCUAUGGGUUUUGAUUGGGCAUGUCCAAAUAAAGUAGCUCUUUGAAUUUCUCAUUUUGGAUAUUACCGUAUUGAUUCAUUAAUGAUAUUCUAAAAAAUAUUAAAAGAAUUGUGAAAUAUAAUUUGAGUGAAUGGCCAUCGUGAGAAAUUGAUAUUAGGUUGGAAGGCAAGGUGGCCAUCAUCACCGGCGCGGCCAGCGGAAUAGGCGAGGCUGCGGCGCGGCUCUUCGCUGAGCACGGCGCCCGGGUCGUCAUCACAGACAUCCAGGACGAGCUCGGGGCCGCAGUGGCGGCCUCCAUCGGCGCCGACCGGUGCAAGUACUACCGGUGCGACGUGCGCGACGAGCAGCAGGUGUCCUACCUCGUCGACUUCACUGUCGCCACCUUCGGCCGCCUCGACGUCAUGUACAGCAACGCGGGCAUCAUAUGCCGGGGCAGCCUGCUCCAGAUGAACCUGGAGGACUUUGACAACGUCGUAGCCGUCAACACGCGCGGCUGCGUCGCAGCUGUCAAGCACGCGGGGCGCGCCAUGGCGGCGGCCGGCACGCGGGGAUCGAUCAUCUGUACGGCCAGCGUGGCGGCGACAGUUGGCGGGAUGGGCCUGCACGCGUACACGGUGUCGAAGCACGCCGUGCUCGGCCUGGUCCGGUCGGCGGCCGGGGAGCUCGGGCACCUGGGGAUACGAGUGAACUGUGUGUCGCCCGCGGGGAUGGCGACGCCACUGGCGCUGGGGUUCAGCGGGAGGACAGCGGAGCAGGCGGAGGCGGAAUGGGAGGCAAUGUCGGCGCUCAAGAGGGGUGCGAUGAAGGCCGGGGACGUCUCUGCGGCCGCGCUGUUCCUGGCGUCUGAUGAGGCAGCAUUCGUCAGCGGGCAUAAUCUGGUGGUCGACGGCGCGAUGACGGCGAUUGGACCCAAGCCGCCGGGGUUUGACCUGCAGUGAAUUUAAAUCUUCAGAGUGAUUUGCUAUUCAUGUAUGUCGAAGGAUGCUUUACUUGCUACUCCAACAGUUGAGUGCUUUGAUCUAAAAAUAUAACCUGGCAUGAAUGGAAUAAUUUAACAAAGUGAAAUUAUGCAACAAAGAUGUUUCUAUUUUAACACACUGGUGGAAAAACUCGAAGAUAUUAUCAGAUGCUCUAAACAAUUAAAAGUGCUGCAGUUUUCGGUGCAUUAAUUGCAAUUUGCAUCAAUGAUCUUGAUCACAGUAUAAGUGAAAAAAUUACACCAACGAUCCUCAAAUGGUUAUAAAGAUCACACUUUAAUCCUCAAAUUAUCAGGCAAGUCGCAAUCAAAUUCUGACGAUACAUUCCAUGACUCGGGUUUUGCGAAAAGAUACCCUGCAUUACCAUCACCACCAAAGCGGUCGCCAAAAAGGAAAAAAAAAAAAUUACUGCAAAUACAAAUUCAUAUCAUUCGACAGCUACUGCCGAUAUUAUUUAAAGAAAAGAAAAAGUAAAGCUUAAUUGCAACCCCCUAACAGUUUGCAGACUAAGGUAAAAGUCUGACCAUUGAAGUGCAACUCGCACAAUAAUUUAAGAACUGUUAGUAUAAUUAUCCCCCUAUAAAAUCUCAGACAUCUGUCGACGAAACCAAUAUGUGCUCAUCCAUAAGAAGCAACAAAAACCAGAAACUGUGAAUGCAGAAGUAAUUUGAUUUCCUUUUAGGGCAAAAGGAGAAUUCAUUUCUAACAUAGUGGAUCACUUACAUUGUAGCUACAGAAUUACAUACCAAGUACAAGAAUCAAAAUCAUUCCAAUGAUCGAAACAUUGGCUAAUCCUUAUCAUGACCAGAAGGGCGGCUGUUGUUCUUCGUAGCGAAAGCUGCUCUCAUGCUCUCAAGUAUGCACAAUGCCUAAUCAGAACCAUUGCAUUCUGAGCCUGCAAGGAAAUUUGAGAUAGUGAGGCCAAAUUUGGAGUUAAAAUCAUGAAUUUAAGGCACAGCAAGAAAUGAAUGAAGAAACCUGAUUCCUAGCUGCAUAGGGUAGUAGAAUAUUCAAUCAAACAAAUAAAAUGGUAAAAUUAUGCGCAGGAUCAGUUUUAAGUUUGAUCAUCAACUAUCAAAUUGUGACGAACUGGGUUCCUUACCAUCGUACUACUUUUGCAGCGAGUCUUUCUAUAACAUCGCCCGGCUAAAUUAGUCAGCAGUGUCUACGUAAUCACCGAAUUAAGUUCUAGUUUGGAAAUGCACUGCCCAAUCACAUCCGAUUUGAUACUUUCCAGAGCAUGAAAAUUCCAAAAGCACUUUAGAUGUUCGUCCUCCAAUGCUUUUGAAUGGUGCUAUCAAAUGUGAAUUGCCACUCUCUAGUGGCAGUUCUUGACAUCUUUCAAUACAUCAUCAGAGAUUUGAAUUCUGUUAUAUCCUCCAAAGCAUAAAAAACAUGUAACAUUGGGCAACACAUUUGCAAACUCGGCCUAUGUGCCAACAGCCAUCAAUGCAUAAUAAAUCUCCCCCCCNCCCCCCCCCCCGCCCCCCGAACCCAAAAAAAAAACAGAGAUGUUCAAAAGUCACUAAAACGGCAAUUUCAAAAGCAUUUCUGUGCAUUUCAACAGAAAAGAGUGCGAAAGGGUGCCACUGUAAUGGAACUGCUAUUCUUCUACUCUAAAUAGCAAUUGCCAGGUGUUAGGCAAACAGCUUUUACUGUGCCAAACAGCUGAAAUGAGAUUCCAAUUCCCCAGAGGAGAAGCACCAACAAGGUUUCUGCUUCUGCCUAGCGAGAUGUUGUUCGCGAAAUUGAAAUAAACAAGCUCUUAGUGCUUCAAAAUACAAAUUCUUCAUAUACACGAUGCCUGUGCUUUUUCAAACAGCUCUAAAAUUAAAACAAAGAUGAUAUCUUUAUUUUACAAGAGAAAUGUAUUUAGAUGCGUGCCUGUUCACCUUAGAAGGAAUAUUCCUUGAGGUCGGCCUUCAUAUCACCCACUUCAGUGUCCAUCAAGCACUCCUCUUGUGGAAGUGGUGGGAGCUGCCUUGUCUUCCUCUUUAAAUUAUGCUUGUGCCACUCGCUUUUGAAGUGCUCCCUAUACUGAUUGGCAUCCCCAACAACUGCAUCGCAUGUGUUGCACCUGUUCUGUUUGACUUCUUGUCCUACACUGCUACUGUUUCCCUCACUAGAAAUGCUUUGAUUCUGCAUUCUCUCUCCUAGCCGGAUGAUGGGAUCCGACUCCUCUGUGGAUUUCAACGGGAGGUCUUCUGCCUCAUCAAAAUGGUCCACAUUUGCAUCCUCAUCCAUGUGGACUGAGACCGCGAGUAUUUCCACCCGCCCCUGCAAGCUCCUCAAUAGAGCAUCACAAUCACGGAAAAGACUUGGUUCAAGCUCACAGACCUACAUCAGAAUAUUCAUGGAAUCAGAACAGAGCCAUUUUACAUUAUAUAUCCUUGAAAAUUAACUAUUUAUAUAGAGAUCUCUGAGGAAUUCUGAAUUUUCAUAUGUACCCCUUGAAGUGCAGUUUCUUACGAAAACACCCUUAAGAUAAGUUAAGGGUUGCCAGAUUUAUCAUGGCGAGUUCGUUUUUGCAUUUGAAAAAGUUUGUGCAGAGCGGCAUCUUUUUUUUCUUCUAACAUCAAGAGUACAUAAGUAAAAAAAAUAAGGGUUAUUCGCAUACACGUCCCUGCAAACAUAGUGAAUUGCAGAAAUAUCCCUGCAAAACGGAAAUUUCAUAAGUUGUCCCUACAAAAGUCCUAAGUUAUGCAGAUAUGUCCCUCUGGUUGAAAUCUGUUAAGAAACUGUUAAUUUUUUAACAGUUUUCUUGUGAAAUGACUUUUUUACCCUCACAAAUAUAUCCCUCCAAAUCUCUUUCCCUUCCCUUUCUCUCCCUCUUUGGGCCACCGGAGUGGACGGCGGCGGCGGCGGCGUGGGGUUGGGUUCGCCGGCGACGAAGAAGAGGAAAGAGAAAGAAGGAGAGGAAGAAGGAGAGGAAGAGGGAGAAGAAGAGGGAAGAGGAAGCGGGAGAGGGAAAGGGUUUGCUUUCACCCCACAUCUUCUCUCUCGCCGGCGACGAAGAAAAGGGAAGAGGAAGAAGGAGAGGAAGAAGGAGGAAGAGGAAGAAGGGGGAAGAGGAAGAGGGAGAGGAAGAGGAAGAGGGAGAGGGCCGCCGCCGAUGCCGCCGUCGCCGUCAACGCCACCGCCGGCGAGGAAGAAGAUAGAAGGGGAAGAGGAGGAAGAGGAAGAAGGGUAAAACCGUCAAUUUACGUUAUUAAUUAACCAUGGUUAAGUUUUUAACUAUGGUUAACGAAAUUUUUUUAACAGACCUUAACGGUAGGGACAUAUCUGCAUAACUUAAGACUUUUGCAGGGACAACUUAUGGAAUUUCCGUUUUGCAGGGAUAUUUCUGCAAUUCACUAUGUUUGCAGGGACGUGUAUGCAAAUAACCCAAAAAACAAAGUUUCUGAAGGGCGUACAUAGAAGCACACAUAUGUAAACAUCUCUUGAAUAAACCACAGACUAACAAAUGGAUAUGUAAACCUACAACCAAGAAAACCCGAAUAUGUUUAAUGAGAUAAUCUGAUCAUAAAAUAGGAUGGAUAUGAUAUUUUAAGUUUUCUCCAACUAUCUGACAUUCGCUGUUAUUCUAAUGUAUACUUUCUGAUAACAAGCACCGAUAUAUAUUAAGUCAUCUCAUAUUUUAAGAAUCCAAACCGUUUUAAAGAUAGGUCGAACUUGUCAAGAUCUGUUCUCUAUCAAUUCGGCAAUUAAGAGUUCGCCUUUAAGCUUAAACCAUAAUGAUCGCAAAAAAUUUCAAAAAACACAGAAAAAUGGUAGAAUGUAUGAAAGACGAUAACAUAAACUACUACCAUCUUUUUAAUUAGUAUCACUGUAACAUAAGCCAGCAUGAAAUAACAGAUUUUCUUUCCUUCACUGCUAGAUUUGUGAUUUUACAAAAUUUUGUGAUUGAGAAAUGAAAGCAACUAGAAUUCAGACUUACAACAGAUGGCUGAUUUCCUGAUUCGUCCCUCGAAGUUAAGUUAGCAUUCCAAGCACCCAGCUUCUCAAUGAGAGUAGAAAAGUUCUUCUCAGGUACAAAAAGCCGCAAUCUCAUUGGCGACCGCUUUAUAGGAAAGUGCUUUUGAAGCUCACGAAUAACUUCUAAUGCCUGCAAAGACCAAAAAGUAAAAGUUGCUUAAAAGGAAAAAUGCGUAGCUCUUUCUGCAGUGAAAAGACCUCAUUUCUAAUUUCCUUAAGACGAUACCUCAUAUGGAAUUCCUAUUUCACCUCCACUAGUAUAAAGAAUUAAUGGCCUGCUGGCCCUUAAAACUUCCACUGCAAAAUCUAGCUAGGAGAUCUCCACCAAACAAAAAUAUUCAACAAAGGAAUGGGCUUUUAUGCAAUGUUCAGAGCGACUUACUUAAGAAAACUGUUUUAUGCUACUAUAUCUCCUAAGAAUUGCCAGCAAUAAAUUACUGUAUAAGAUUCUAACAAUCAUCUAAGAAAGGAAAAACAUCUGUAUGAAUACAUAGAGCAUCCAUUACCAUGACACGUUAUGCACAAGCAUAAAAUUAACUCACAGGACAAUUUGGCAAGCAUUGAUUAGCAAGUAUUCACAUUGCUUUGCAAGGACAAAAAAGAACUAGAAUUAAAGUAAAGAGAGUCAGUUUUCCAUCCGGAACAUUGAAUUUACAGAUCAUCAAAAAGAUAGUUCUACAGUUUCCAACUGUUUAUGACAGGCAAAAUACCUGUUUCUUUGAGCUGGUAUUAGGAUCAACCGCGAAAUGUAUUUCAUGCAUAAGACGCUCAAUCAUACUGAUUGUGUAAGGGCGUUGAGUUUCCGGAUUAAUAGUCUUUUGCAUCACAAUAGUUGCAAUAUCCCGGAAUUGACUAGACAACUGGGACUCUCUUUCCUUUCCAGCAACUUGAAGCUCUCCUUUCUCCAAAAUCUGGUACAACUUCAAUCAGCUUAGCAACCUACUAAAAAUCCAUCAAAAAAUGUCCUCCUCCCCCCAUUUAUCUAGUUAAUGAGUAAAUAUAGUAAAGCAAAAGAAAAGGAUGAUUAGCAACUGACUAAGCAGAUAAUUAAUUCUAGUUUUACUGUUUAAAAUGCUUCAUGAUUUACCAAAAGUCCUCUAUUUCCUACACUUUUUAUAUUAUACAAAGCCCUAUACUGCAUACAUCAUUCCAUGCAUUUCCAAUACAGGGAAGCGAACCAACAAAAGUGCCUUGAUUCUGCAUCUAAACAAAGAUUUAUACCUUCCAUUCAAACAGUUUGAUAACAGAAAUAUCAGCUGUAUGUACUCAAGUAUAUGUUAGCAUGAAGUACCUAUAAAACAUAUCUACAAGUUAACUAUUAACUAAUGUACCAUUACAGGACAGUAACGGCAUCUCUCCUGCUAUUAAUUAAUUCAGAGCAUAAGAUGUAACUUUACAAUUGCAGUUAAUCAAUAGCAUCAUAUGCAAAUAUACACUAGUAGUUUUUUUCAGAUAAUUUUGAAAGAAAAUUCAGCACUAAAAUAACUACAGCAAACAGCUUUGACAAAUGUAAUACUUAUGAUAGUACACAAAUGCCAACAGGAGAAAUACGAGUACUUGCAUGGAAACACACACCGGUAAUCCGGUAUAAUAUCUUGUUUUAAAAAUCAAACAAGCUUACCUCUAAGCAUAUUUCUCUUUGGUCAUCAGUACCAAAAGCUGCAAUCAAAUCCUUUGAUUUUGCAAGAAUUCCUUUGGAAACAUUUGAAUAAACUGUAUGCGAUUGCAACACUUCAUCCAAAUCCUUCUCCCUUCAUUAUAGGACAAGAAUAGCAAGAUGUGUCAGAGAUUCUAAAUCCAGAGAAAGAAGCACAAAAACUUUAUAUCUAUAAUGAACCUAUUUCACAAAAUGCCAAGAGAGAUAGGAGAGAUAAAAUUGCCCUUUUGAUGGUGAUACUAUAUAGCAUUAACUGAAUUAGAGAUUUUGAUAUGACUUGUAAAAAGAAGCAGAAGAGCUACGACCAGAAAUAUCAAAUAUUGCCUUUGACCAGAGGCGUAUCUGAGGCUAAAUUCAUCACAGAAUUUAAAAGACCAAAGUAAAUUGCACUUAAACAACAAAACUGGUGAAUAACUCAUCUCUUUCAUUGAAAGAUCCUCAUCUAAGACUUUGCAUUGCUAACAUUAAUAUAUUUUCAAGGCAUCAACUUGUUCUCCAGGUGCAAGGAGAAUUCACACACACACACACACACACACACACAAAAAGGCAGAGAAAAAUCUGAAAUCUAAAAAAAAAAAAAACCACAAGUAACAGCCUUAUAUGAUGUAACUCAUAACGUUCAUGAAAUGACCCAACAAAACUACUACCUGCAGAAAUGGGAAAAAGAAAAAAAAAAAACCACCAGAUUGAGAGCAAGCAUCAGGACAUCAUCUAACUGUUAGAACAAAAAGACAUUAUCUAUGGAAGCAACUUAUUCAUUAAAGCAAACAGAGUCGUAACAGGUGAUUGAAGGUGUAGGCGGUCACUAAGACCAUCAAGCUCCAAAACUAGUAAUUAUUAAAUCAGUUAUCUUAGGCACCUAGGAAACCUGUUUUGAAAUAAAUUUCCAGAGAAAUCUCUCCUUCAAGUAGAAAAGAACCCAACAACCCGGAAAAAAAAAAAAAUCAACUAAUGGUCUUCAAUUCAAACUCCGAGGUGAAUAGAUAAACAAAGUCCUUCCUCAAUUAAUAUGUGCCAACUUCCAGCUCAGUUACAAUUAAAAUCACUUAAAUCAAAUGCCUCCGAGAAGACUCUUUUCAAGUAGAGGUAAAAAAAAAAAACACAAAAGAAGGCAAAUGACACUAUUGGUCAUGAAACUAAUCACAGAAUUAUACCAUCAGCCACGAAACUUAUUGUUAAGCUUCAUCUACGCUACGAGACUACAAUUUUGUAGUAGUUGUGAAUCUAAACUUUACUUUUCGUCUAAAAUGAGUUAAUUUGACAAGUUUUUGUUAGGAUUCCUAAGGGAAGAUACAGAAACUAAUUUAGUUGCCAUAUCAUCUACUAGAGAUGACAUGAUGAUAAAAAUAACACUAAUAUCAUCUCCUGAAGAUGACACAGCCCAAUCGGCUACCACAUCAUCGAUCAUUACGCGAUUAAAACGAAUUCAAGCUCAGUUAUUUAAAUGAAACUUUGGGAACUCAAAAGAAGGAUUAUGGUCCGAGGCAACCAAACGAACAUAAUCUUUCCCCAUGAAAAAAGGGGGCCUAAGUUUCCAUCGGAAACCCUAGACCUUACUAGUCAUAAAAAAAUUACAACUUAAUAGUGAAAAAAAUGUCAGCUUUCCGAUCCAAUUCCGAUAACCGAGCACAGAACAAUCGAAACCCUAACCCAAAUGGUUCGGAGGAAAAGCAGAGGGAGAUCAUAGGAGGGAUUAGGGUUUUGGAGACGUUACACGCGGGAGCGCCAUGAUAGGACCUUGUUCUUGUAGCAGGCGAUCUCGAAGCGGAUCCCGUGCUUCUUCAGCCGCACGAUCGCCACGUUCGUCAAACGCUUCUGCCCUAUCGGCUGCACCAGCGUCUUCGACAUCUCCCUCCUCCACCCCUCUCUCUCUCNUCUCUCCCCCCAACCUCCCCUCUCUCUCUCUCUCUCUCUCUUUCUCUCUCUCGAACUCUCCUCAGGAGGGAGGAGAAAGGGAAUGAUUAUUUGUGUAAAUUUUUUAGGGUAAACUUCAAAUACCGCAUACGUGGUUUUGCACUUCUCACUUUAGUACCACGUAGUUUAAAAAUACAUCAAAUUAGUAUCCCGUGAUUUCAUUUUUAUCUUUUUGUCAGUUUUUUUGUUAAUAUUUUAUUAAAUUAUAUACAAAAAAACUUCAGAUACCCACCUAAGUUUAUCGAAUAUUCACUUUAAUAUCCUUUAGUGUUCACUUUGUUACUGAUUUAACGAAAAAAAUUAGUAAAAUCGAUAAUAAAAAGAUAAAAAAAAACCACGGAAUACUAAAUUGAUACACUUUAAAUCACAGAGUACUAAAGUGAGAAAGUGUGAACCACAUGAAUGGUAUUUGAAGUUUUUUCUUUAAUUAACUAGUAUAGGACCUACGCAUCGCGGUGCCUAGAUAAAAUUUUAGCUAGUCAAGACAUAGAGUUAUUAAAAACUAUUCAAAUAAUUUCUUGUGCCAUCAAAAUUUUAUUUUUGAUUUAUAUUUUAGAGUAAAUUUAUGAUGCAAUGAACGCAUUCAAAAUAUUAAUAGUUAUGUGGCAAUGGCAAUCUCCAUUGGUUAAUGGGUAACCUGCUAUUUCUAAAAGAACAGAGAAUUAUUUGCUUGCUUUUAAUACACACUAAUUUUUCAUAUAUGGUACAUAAUAUUAUAUAGUUAAUAAAGUACUUGGGGACUAAUAUUAUAAAAUAAAAUAUGAGAUAUUAAAAAAUAGGAAAAACUUCAAAUACCUCCCAGUGGUUUCGCAGUUUCUCAUUUUAGUAUCAUAUAGUUUAAAGUGUAUCAAGUUAGUAUCAUGUGGUUUCGCACUUUCGCACUUUCUCACUUUAGUAUCCUGUGGUUUAAAAUGUAUCAAGUUAGUACUCUGUGAUUUUAUUUUUGUAUCAAGUUAGUACCCUAUGGUUUUAUUUUUCUCUUUUUAUUAUUUAUUUCGGGGUUUUUUUUUCGUUAAAUCAGUGACAAAGUUAAAACUAAAGGGUACUAAAAUGAAUAUUCGAUAAAUUUAGAUAGGGUAUCUAAAGUUUUUUUGUAUAUAAUUUAGCAAAAUAUUAAACCACAGGGUACUAAAGUGAGAAAGUGCGAAACCACAGGGUACUAACUUGAUACACUUUAAACCACAGGGUACUAAAGUGAGAAACUGCGAAACCACAUGGGAGUACGUAGCAACCCCAGUUAUUAACUUCCAACCGUGUAUAAUUUUUCAUAUAUAGCAUAAUACAAUAUUAUAUAUUAAUAAAGUAUUUGGUCAUUAAUAUUGUAAAAUAUAAUAUAAUAUAAUAUAUAAUAGUAAGUUAACCUCUGCAGUGCACGAAAUUAUCAAAAUUAAAUUUUAAUUCUAAAUUUAAAUAUACUCUUAGUUUAGUUUUCUUAUAUUAUUUUUAAAGUAUGGUAACAAAAAUAGCUUUCAACAUAUAUAUUCUAAAUGUUGACCGUUCCUAGAACAAGUGGCAAAGGGUUUGGUGAUUGGUAUCCGAGACUCAAGUUCGAAUCCUAGUUGAUUCACAUUUUUAGCUAAAUUUAUUUUUAAAUGAAAUAAACGAAGCGGGUAGCGUGCUACCUAUCUCUCUCUCUCAAAAAAAAAAAACAUAUAUAUUCUAAAUAAAGUUGAUAAAUGCUAACUUUUUAUUCAAAAGAUGAAAGACUCUAAAAACAACAUAUAUUUUAUAUAUAUAUAUAUAUAUAUUAUAUAUAUAUAGCUGGGCUACUAUACUCAUAUGAGUAUAGAGCCUUUUGUAUUCAUAACUUUUCGGCCGUUCAGAUGAAAAAAUGUGCGGUUGGGAUGAAAGUGGUUACGAUUAGGUUGAUAGCGAGCCCCCUAGGGUUGAGUGGGUGGUUGGUUGAAUAGUAUAAUCUAACGGGUGAAAAUGAUUAAAGGGUAGAUCAAACGGUAAAAAAUUUAAAGUGUUGCCAUAAUUUUGUUAAAAUAUCCAUUUAAAUAGUACAUUACCGCUGAAACUUAUCUAUGUAUGAUUCAUUAAUCUUGUGGAGUGUUGAGUAGUUUUGUUGAAUCUUCUGUAACUUUCGCAUGAAAAUAAAUUAUGGUAAAACACUUCGCUAACUUUAGAGAAGACUUUAUAGCCAUAGCAAAUAAAAAAUUUAAGAAACAAAUAUUCUUAGCAUUCUCUGUUCGUAAGCUUUUUAAUAUUCCCAAUUAAAAAUUUUAAGUUGUAAUGAAUAAGAAACGUAUAUCUAUAUCUAUGUAUUUUCUAUACAUUAUUUCUUAUGAAGUUUGUCACGUGACAGUUCCUCUUUCAUACUUACCUUCUCCUCUCUUAUCACUUUUUGAUGCGAUGUUUCGUCUUCCCACCCACAUACCUCUCAAUUAUAAUAUAAUGUAUUAUGUCCACAUAAUUUACUUAAUUUAAUUUAUAAUNCUUUUUUUUUCCUUUUUCUUUUAACAGGUCUACAUUGUCCUCAAAAUAUGUCAAUUAAAGAGAUUUAGUUGGUACAUCUUUUAGGACUUGUUUGAUUUAUCUAUUUUAAACCAUAGAAUAAGAAUAAGAAAUAUUGAUUUCAAUAGUUAUUGGUUAUUUUACAGUUAUUGAAUUUUGAUUAUUAUUACGUUCUGAAAUAUGAAUCGCAAAUGAAUACGGAUACGAAAUAGAUAUUUACGAAAAUAUAUUUAUUUUGAGGGCAAUGUAGACCUGUUAAAAAUGUAGACCUGUUUAACAAAAAAAGAAUAAGAAAUAUUGAUUUCAAUAGUUAUUGGUUAUUUAACAUGAUUUUUAAAUUUUUUUUACUUUUUUCUCGUUUUUUACAGAUUUAGAAGUAUUAAAUAUAUUUUCGUAAAUAUCUAUUUCGUAUCCGUAUUCAUUUGCGAUUCAUAUUUCAGAACGUAAUAAUAAUCAAAAUUCAAUAACUGUAAAAUAACCAAUAACUAUUGAAAUCAAUAUUUCUUAUUCUUAUUCUAUGGUUUAAAAUAGAUAAAUCAAACAAGUCCUAAAAGAUGUACCAACUAAAUCUCUUUAAUUGACAUAUUUUGAGGACAAUGUAGACCUGUUAAAAGAAAAAGGAAAAAAAAAAAGUGAAUGAUUAGCCCUUACAUUGUCUAAUUUAUAGCACCAUUUAGACAUAAAAACCAUAGUGCCAUUUGACCCAAAUGUCUCUUGCAAUCGCCAAAAAUCAACUAAGAUUGACACUGAAGUCGUAAGAUUGAGACACCCCUCAUCUAAAUCAAUUUCCUCCAAAGGAUUUAUGGCUGCAACAGUUUCUCUAUUGCAAGAAUUCAGACAACAUCACUUCAGGCAGAGGAAAAGUGGAAAAGUCCCCACCUGCAGCAGCAAAAUGAAAUAAUUUUUAUCCAUCAGUUCAUCUCCAAACAACUCUAUUUACACAAUGCAUUUACAGAAGCUUUGACAAGGCCAAACAAUUCUUUUUGAAAGAUGGUUCCUAGGACAUCUUGGGGCCAUAUAAAAUGUCAAUUACAACCUAGAAAUACAUCACAAAUCUGUCAAUAGGAAAACUUUCACAGAUCACUGGUAAGAAAAAUAAAAUCGAAUCUGCCCAGUAUUGAACCGUCGAACUUGAAGCAAACCAAUCCUAUUCAUUCAAAGAAAACAUAAAACAACCAAAACACUAAAAUUAGAAGCAUCAGCACCAAAAGCAUAUACUUUUUAAGAAAAUUGAUGAAUAGAAAACAUUUAAACGCAAAGAAUAACCAUUAAAUGCAUUUGACAAACGAGAGCACCAGUUGAUAUCGAACCUUCAAACUUACAAUUCCAUUGUAUUAUAGAAAUUCACAAAAUCAUUUAAGUGGAAGCUCUCGUAAGGUCAAAAUUUUCACAUUCUAAAGAUGUAGUUAUAGUCGAAAGAACUGCAUUAGAUCAAUUAUACAAAAUGUAAUCACAUCAAAACUAAUGCCUUCAACCCUCGCCAAGCUUUCUCAUUGAUGAUUAUUCACUUCCCUAUGUUUCUGCAAUGACCUUUUAUCGAUCUAACUCCACCGGCUAUGUUAGAAUUUAAUCAAGCAAAGCAAUUAGCAUAACCGAAGCAAAAAGAACUUACUAUUAUAAUGAGAAUAUUUCUGUUCUCUAAAAGUAGUGACCCAUCGUAGGUGGGAUGAGUAAGCACAAAACUUAACUUAAUCAGUAAAAAAAUCUGAACAAAAAUUGAAGUAACCAGAUCAAAAAUUGUAUCGGAAGAUGAACCUUGGUUUAUGAUUUGAUUGGGAAUGAGAAAUAGAAUGAGGAAUCAUCCAAAAACUUUUGAUUCGUGAUUGGAACGGAAAUUGGAAUGGAUAACUCCCAUUGCUCAUGUUUGGUUCAUGAUAAGUGGGAAAUGUAAUCAAUAUUACUAAUCUCAAAUAUAGAUAUCCAUAUAAAGAUAAAUUCAGCAAUUAAAAAUUCAAAUUCUUUCCUCUGUAGUCUCAAUUGAGAGGAGGAAUAAUUGAAAUAUCAUCAAAGAGCACACUCCACUAGAGAACGAAAAAUUAGCCAAAAUACUAAUAUCAAAAUAGAAAGAAAUUAAAGAAAAAAUGAGAGAAAAGAAAAGAGGAAAUUGUUCACCACACAAGAAGCUUAAAACAAAAGAAAACUCAAAACGACGUAGUAGACCUAAGAAACCUAAUCAAGCAUUAUAAGCGAAAAGAUAUCUUUUUUUACUUCAGAAUCCACAAGAUCUAUAGCCAACCAACUCCUACACAAAUUUUCCAAAACCAAUGUUCAAAUCAAAACAAAAAACACCAUGAGAUCCAAACGACCCUCUUGGAUCUCUCCACCUUCAGAGAUGGUGCUCUGGAUCCAGGCACACUUGACGACGCAUUUCAAUAGAUAAAAGUCCACUAAAUCAUACAAUAAAUUCUUGGCAACAAUAAUACUUAACUAUAACGAGAUAGAAUUACCUUGGUAUCUAUACUCACCGGAUGUUGCACAAGAUAAAACUCCUUAUUUCCUUAACUGCAUUGAAAUGCUCUUUCCGAAUUAUAAACCAAAAAGUUAACUUUUUCAAGUACUAGAAAGGUCAAAUGAAUCAGAUGUAACUCACCCAGUAGAAAUCAACAAAUACAUUCUUGAACAAUUCGAAACCACACAAGAAUGGUGGCAAGUGAGACCCUGCAUAGAUUGGCCCUAAAUUUCAAAUCAUUACUAAGGGGAACAUAUCAGAGUUUAUUCUUUAAGCCAGUAAGAUGAGCUUAUAUCCACAUGCUUUCUUUUUCUUAGCAUCAAUGCCAACUAAGAUCAACCAAUGCAACUAAAUUUUAACAGUAUGCUCUGCUCAAAUCCAAAACAAGAAGCUCACUUUGGCCCCAAUCCAGCUUCUUUACUAAGACUAAACUGUCAAAAAGAGAUGAAACAUACAUCUCCAAAAAAGAAACUAAAGAAAGCUAUAGAGAUAAUAGAAACUAUUUAAGAAUUACUUAAUAAAAAAAUUUUAUAGAUUGAUGAGUGAGAGUUACACAAGCACUGGUAGUUUAUACAACUAAAUAAUAUCUGUUUCUCGCAACUAUAAAGGAUAGCAAAUUGGUUGAACAACUAAAAUCAGCACAUUACUGUAUUUCAACUGUCUUUAGGACAACUACCAAUCAGAAAUCCAUAUAAGCAAUACUACUAAGAAUAUAAAAGUGGAAGCAUAUUUACCCAGGCCUUUUUACACUACAAACUUUUCAUUUCUCACAUAAAACACUACAAAUAGCUUACAUAGAUUCUUCACAAGACCACCGAUAGACUACCAAAUUAAUGAAAAAGAAGCAUCUUCUACUUGUCAUGUACUAUGAAGAAGAUAAAUUUGUCCACAUUGAUAUAGUAUGUAAAAAGAAAAAUAAAACAAAAUUUAAGUUGCUAAAGCCUCCUAAGUAGUUAUAUCAAAAAGCUGACAACUUAAAAUAAAUAGAAAAUAGCAACACAAACAAAAUUAUGUCCCGCUGUUUUACACAACCAAAUAGCAGGUCUAGUGUGGAGUACAUCCAUUCAACCUACAAAACAUAUGAGAGAACAUUGACUUGUAAAUGAUUUUAAAAGAUCCAUGAAUCACAAACAAACAGAAUAUCUAAACAAAUAAGCGUUGCUUAUUACAUUUUAUUAAUUAUAAUGUCCAUAUUAUGAUCUCAUGAAACAUACUAUCCAACAAUUUAUUAGAACACCAAGCAACAUAUGAAACAUAUUAUCCAACAUUUUAUUAGAACGCCUACUUAGAAUCUCCUCAUGAAUCUCAUGAAAACCAAUAAAAGAUAUAGAGACCUACCAAUUCAAAUACCUUGUCCAAAUUCCUAAUUUAGGAGCCCAAAAAGUUAUCAAUUUGAUUGGAUAUACGAUUGAUUGUGGUAGCUAAUUUUUUUUUUUCAUAAAAGAAAAUUUAGCAACAAUAAUGAUAAGAUAGAGACCAAACAUGUAAUAACGUUGACCAUGGAUGACUCCAAGCUUUAGAAGCACGACUACAAGCCAAAUAGAAUAAAGCACUAAUAGCAUAAGAAAGCUCAUUCUCAUUUCAUACAACAUCUUAUAUGUAAGAUAGUUUUCAAGUUUAGGCUAUAAAUAAGAAAUACUUCAGUUAGUUAAGUACUACAUACAUAAUUAUGAUGCAAAAGUAUAAAAAUAAAUAACAAAAAAUCUACCUUUUACGAACUAGCAAUAGACUUAAGCCUGCAAAGAUCAACAGUAAUACUAUCAUCUAUCCCAAAAAAAGUUAUAGCUUGGAAGGAUUUGGGCUCGGCUUCACCAUCUAUUGCUUGAAAAGUAAGACGGUACCCCAAUCCCGCUGCAAUGCAGCAAGUUAUCUUCUCUAGCUUCAGAAACUCAUAGCUCGUAUUCUGCAUUAAAAAGAAAAUUUCGAAAGAAAUUAUAACGAAAAGAGAAAAAAGAUAAAAAGAAAGAAAGAAUAAAAAAGAAAAUAGAUAAGACAUUAUAAAUAUACAUUCUCAUUGUUAAAACAUUCAAUAGCUGCUUUUGCACAUUUGAUGAUGUAUUUGGAAUCAUAAUCCUCUACCCCUAUAAGACCAAACUCCAAGCCCGGAAAUGAAUCAACGUCAAAUCCCAAUAAGACAUAUACUUACAAUUAGUAUGGAAAAAUAUUUCAAAUCUUUGAUUCUCAAAAGGAUGUCGAUAAGUAUUAAAUUACCUCGCUUUCCUUAAUUUGUUUAUAAAUAUCUAGCCAUUCUUUGCGGGUCCUUCUGCGAGUACCAUGUGGCCAGACGUAAUCGUCAUCCUCUCCCGACGUAUACUCAUAAUCCGUAAGAUUCUUUUUCUUAUUAUUCUUUUCCCCCACGUCUUCACCUUUUCCAUGCCUACAAGUCUCCUCCUCCUCUUUCUUCUCGUCGUGCAAUUCUUGCAGUGGUUCUUCAAGUAUCAACUGCUUAGUAUUUUUCCUACAUAAAGGAAUUAAACAUAUCAGUGCAUAAAAAAUUGUAGACCUACCAAUUUCUGUCAAAACUAAUAAUUUAUCAAAAGUUGUUUAUUAUUUUGCUUUUUUAUAUAAAUUAUGGCGUCAUCCAUUGUGAUAUAUUAAAGAUAACUGAUUUAAAAAUUCUAUAAAAGAAAAAAAAAAAGGGGAAACUUCAAAUCCCUCAUGUCGUUUCGCACUUUCUCACUUUAGUACCCUAUGGUUUAAAGUGUAUCAAGUUAGUACCAUAUGGUUUUGCACUUUCUUACUUUAGUACCAUGUGGUUUCAAGUGUAUCAAGUUAGUACCAUCUGGUUUCGCACUUUCUCACUUUAAUAUCCUGUGGUUUAAUAUUUCGUUAAAUUAUAUACCCCGAAAUGGAUAAUAGAAAGAGAAAAUUGAAACCUCAUGAUACUAAUUUGAUAUAAAAAUAAAACCACAGGUUACUAACUUGAUACACUUGAAACCACAGGAUACUAAAGUGAGAAAGUGCGAAACCACGGGGUACUACUAACUUGAUACAUUUUAAACCAUAGGUACUAAAGUGAAAAAGUGCGAGGGGUAUUUAAAGUUUCCCCAAAAAAAAUUAAAAUAACACUAUCUUGUUUAUAUACAUGUCCCAGUGAGGAGUAAGCUGGGGCAUGACAUAUUUUAUUUCAAUUUAAUAUAAUAGAAACAUAUUUGUGCAAUGUGACAAAUGCAUAAGCGAGCCUCAACAGAGGUAGAUGGGUAUUGAACAUUGGGUUUGGGCUUGGGCUUCGGCCGGGUCUUAAUUUUUUUAAAAAAAGGACAGAAGCCCAACUCAAAGCCCAAUAAUUUUUUCUUUUGGGCCAGGCCUGGACAUAGUAUGACCUGGGCCAAUUCCACACCUAUGAGCGGUAAUUAUAAUAAUUGUCGCCAAAUUAUUUAGGAGCGAUUAUAAUCGACAGCAAUGCAAAAAGUAAUGGCCGCUAAAGAUUACUUUAUUUGUA
rnacentral:lncRNA from 1 species